GGAUGGUAAAAUUAGCUAUGAAGAAUUUGUCGCAAUGAUGAAGACUGGCACAGACUGGAGAAAGGCGUCAAGGCAUUAUUCAAGAGGGCGCUUCAAUAGCCUUAGCAUAAAGCUUAUAAAAGAUGGGUCUCUAAAACUGGGUAAUGAGUGAGGUUCCUGCUUGCAGCCGGCGCGGCUUCCUGCAUUGUAGUCUGCCCCUCUGGCCCACUAAGCAGAAACCCUCUUCCAUUUGCUAAUGAUUAUUUUGUCUGGGGUUUAGUUAGGCGGAGCCUCCCUGAUUGGUUCACUUGUGUAAUUAGUAGCCCUUUCAGUAUUGCUGAGGAGCAUGUACUGAAUGAUGUGCGCCUGCUUGCUUGCCCAUCUCCGGUGUACCUGACACUCAAGUGUUGUAAAAUGUUUUGCUGUUGACCUCAAAUGCAAUUUGCUGCUUUGGUGUACUGGAGUUGUAGGUUCAUUUGCAGCGGUAAAGAACUAGUAGUACAUAUCAAACAGAAGUGCUGAAGAGGAGCUAAAUACGAAAUUCUUUGGUGUAAUCUGUUAAGGAGAGUGAAGUUCUUUGAGUUGUCGGUUCCUGUUCAGUUGUAGGCCUGACUUUCAAAUUGCCAGGCAUUUGCUGAUACUUCAAACUGAAACUCGAUUACAUGGUGCUGGGAGCCUGGGACGUCAGCUUGGAUGCACUGUUCUCUGCAGAAGAGCCUGGGACAUCUGCUUUGGUGUAAGCAGUAGUGAUUACUUGCAGCUUCAACUAUACAAUAACAGCAUGCCGUCAGAAGAAAAGAACGUGAUUCAAUUUGCAAGUCCACAAUCCAUAUACAGUGCUACGCUAUGGAUGCUGUUCUCUCUGCACUAGCUUACAUGUACGGCAAAUUGUCUGACGAUAUUUUGUCAUAUUCCAGCAGUCUGAUACCGGUGGUACCAGAACUGGACGAAGUCUUCAGAAACAGGAAAGAAGAUCUGGAUCAGGAUUCCUGUAGUUUGGUGAGGAGGUGCUCGUGAGAGGAGCCUGUCUGAUCGCAUUGGCUUUUCAGGCCAAUGGCUUUGGCAAGAUACAGCAAUGCUACACGAGAAUCAGACAUACUUCUGCCACUACCCUUUUCCUUUCCAUUUCCAAUGUGUUUGGGGAUUGUGGAGUAGCACCUGACGCCUGCCAGAUCUACCAGACUACCAUUAAUUGCUUUGAUCAAGAGAUGAAGAAAUCACCUGAUAAAAAGAGAAGAUCAAGAACCGGCUGGAAAUGCAGCAGGGUGGACUGUUUGCAUGUUCUUCCAUCUUAGAGCAUGUUUGGUCGCAUGGCUAAUAUAUGAAAGCGCUAAAGUUUAGCACCUUUAUAUAUUAGCUCACCCAAAACCAAAAAAGUAAAAAAUAUUAGCUGGUGGGGAGAAGCUAAUGAUGCUAAUGGCUUGUGAAAAGACAAAAGGGGGAGAGAAAGGGAGGAAGUGAGGAGAUAAAAGUGACUUUCAUAGACUUUAGCUGUAUUCAUUAGUCAUGUCUCCAAACGUAAGUGCUAAUAGGUGGAAGUGCUAAACUUUAGAUAGGUUAAAUUUUAACCCUUGCUAAACUUUAACGGUAGCACAUGCAAACAUGUCUUUAUUCUAAUAUCUUUUCCGGCAUGAUCCUACGGAGCCCUGUACGCUGCCGACUAAAUACCAUUCGCAUUAAAUUUAUAAUCGCGACGCGUGCAUAAUUAAGCGUCAAUCUAGUAGUUAAGUUAGCAGUCGAUGACAGAGAAAGGAGCUGCUUUAUCCCCUGUAGUCUCCAACCACCGUGACAACGAAAUUCUCUAGUCCAGCGUCAGGGUGCGCCUAAUCCUUUUUUGUGGUGCUUUCACACGGCGACCCGAUUUGUAGUUCCAAUCUUUCCCUCCAACAAAUCAAACCUGAAGUAUGAAAGGAGCAUCCAUGAUUGAACACAAUAGCUUAACAUGAAAUUGAAACUCGAUCACUUCUAGUGUUUUGUCAGAAUCAAUUACAAAUGCAGCAACUGAAGUCAUUUGAAAUUUCGAAUGUAUUUGUUUACAGAAUCACAGAGGGUGAUGCGUCGAGUACGAAGCCGCCUGCGCCUCGGCGGAUCUGGUGUCCCCUUCUGCUGUUGGGAUCCGACGCCAGCGCCAGCCACCAGCCCGUAGCGUUUGGCUGUCGCGGUGCACUCACGGGACACGCCGCCGGCCCGGCAGGCGCAGAGGAUCCCAUCCCCCACCUCCCCAGCGAAGCAGCGCGAGGAGAACGGCGUCCAGGUAUGUUGCGGGCCCGCGCGGCAGCGACCGACAAUAAUGGCGGCACUCCACAUCGGAGACUCCACUCCCCACCUCCCCGACCACCCACCGCAUCGCCACGCGACAGCGACGCCCCGCCCCGCCCCCGGAUCCCCGCGGACGCCGACGGCUGGGCCUGCCGCCUGUCUCGUCGGGGGCGGCGGGUCCCAGCACCCAGAGGCCAGAGCUACUCGCUCGCUCGCUCUAGAAGAGUUGUUGCGCGGACGCCGGGCGCGGCGGCCGUUGGAUCCCGUGCCGUGCCGCCCGCCGCCUCGCCCAGCGUCUCCCUCAUUGCCGCUGCCUCGUCCGCCCGCCCGCCCGCUUGCUUCGCGCUCGCUUCGCUUCAAAUGGCAGCGGCGGUGCGGGCUGAGCGGCCGCGAGCUUGACCCGGGCGCGCGUGGGCUCCGAACCCAGCCAUGUCGGCGCCUGGCGCGGAGGGGGCCGUGGCGGGCUUCCGCGGGGAGCACGGCCUCGUGCGCGCAGCCUCCGCCACUGAGUUCUCCGGGUUCGAUGACCCCCAGCUCCCGCCGCUGCGGCUGCGCGCCUCGUGCGGCGGCGGCGUCGCGAUCGCCAGCCCGUGCUCCAGCUCCUCCUCUGAUACCUUCGUCAGCAUGAGCUCUACGCCCUCAGGUACCGCAUGCUUGCGAUGGUGUUUAUCCACUCUAAUGCGUCCAAGCACUCACUGACACCGCUGCCAAUCUCGAUUCCUCUCGUGAUCGGAUGGUGCUUGCUCUAAGUUUGUUUACUAAUUUUGGUCGGUUUUGCUGGGCUCGGUUGCUCCCCGUGGGGAUCAGAAACGCUGAACUCGUGCGGGCUGUGGUCGCCGCCGCGCGCUCCGUCGGAGGCCUCCUCGUCCGAGAUGGAGUUCGGCACGGCGCGUGAGUACGACACCACCGAUCCCUUCUUCGGUGACAACUGGCUCCGCGACAACCACCUGCCCCACAGCAAGCCGGAGAGCGACGGCAGCGAAGGGGAGGACAAGUUCAUUGUUGGUCCUGACGUCAGCUUGCGGCGGAGUGAGAUGCGGGAGCUUGACGAUGGCUUCGGCCGCAGGCACGUACACAGAGACCACAUUGCGGAUUCUGAUGGGUGCGCAGAGGUGAAUGUGUGCUCGUCACCGCCCUGUGGCUGCUGUUACAGGGAAAAGAAGAAUGGUGAGGAGUUGGUGAGAGAUUCUUGCUAUGCUGUCUAUGGGAGGUAUCAGAUCAUGGACGACCAUACGGAGGUGCUUGAUGAGUGCGUCGCAGAAGCGUUCCGGUUCAGGCUGAAUGCCUUUGUUGGCGCUGGUGAUCCAUUAGUGGAUUUCAAGAAAGGAGAGGGCGAUGGGUUGGAUCUUAGUGCUCUGGAGAAGGAGCUUCAAAUGCUUAGUCCGUACUUGGCUGAUGCAGAUGCUCUUGAGAGUAAGUAGUUCUGACCUCUUUCCUUUUGUUAAGUUCCAUUUCUUGCAUUUCGCAAAAAAAUCAAGCAAAUGUAGAAGGAACUCACUUCACGACGUUGUAAUUGGAUCACCUUUUCUUUUAAGCGAUUGGAAUUUUCAUUCCUGUCUACCGUUCUGCUUUGCACAUCUCAAAAUAUUCCAACUUUGUUUGGCGUCAAGUUCAGGAUUCAUGAUGGUGCAUUGAAUUUAAAAUCACUGCUCAAAUUCCACACCAGUGGAUAUAAUUGCAAAGCAAGCUGGAAUCUAGUUCUACAUGUCCAUGAUGCAAUUGAUUCUCAUUCCAGAUUUGUAUGCCUUUGUAACUCUGAAAUUCAUCGUUCCCAAUGAUUUUUUUUAUGGACUAAAUGAUUUUCUUUUUAACUGUAAUUAUCUCUUGCAGAUGUUGGGCUUGAACAUGACUUCAGAGGCAAUGAAAAACUUGAUGUUUGCGUGGUAACAAAUGAGGAAAAUGCUGAUGGCGAAGAAUUUCUAAAAGAUAGCUACAGCAUACAUCCUUUUCCUGAGAACACUGACCCUUUAGAUGUUUAUGGGGUGGAAGAUUUUGUUACAGCAGAUACAAAUGUUCGAAACUCUACCACUCACAAAUUUCAGGAAGAUCCAAAAGUGGAUCCUGCACUCUCUAAGUUUCAUCAGGAGUAUGAGGUAUUUGGCUUGAAAAUUUUCCACCGGAAGAACAGGUGUGCAUCAGAUAUUUUUCUUAUUUUCUUCUGCUGCCAAAUAAUUCUAGGGAUAUUGUAUGCUCAUGCUAUAGGUGUUCACUGCAGGACUGGCUUUGAGGAAAACAAAGAAUUUCCUAUUGUCAUGGAUUCAGUUAUAACCGGAAGAUAUCGUGUCACCGAGUAUCUUGGUUCUGCUGCAUUUAGCAAGGUUGUACGUGCACACGAUCUUCAAACUGGAGUUGAUGUAUGCCUUAAAAUAAUAAAAAAUGACAAGGAUUUCUUUGACCAGAGCUUGGAUGAGAUAAAGCUCCUUAAGUUUGUCAAUAAGUAUGAUCCAGAUGAUGACCAUCACAUACUUCGUCUCUAUGAUUACUUCUACUUUCAGGUGUGUGAUGCAUAGACUCAGUGAAACUAAGUCUUUUGCUUUGUUUUACAUUGAAUUCAGUGUACAAUCAUAUUGCUCUUAAGGAUGCUGUUCAUUCAAAGUUCUAAGGAUACAUUAACAAUACAAGUUUUUUUUCCCUGUUCGUGAUGUAUACUUCAAUAUUUUCCCUGUUUGAUAUUAUCCAAGCUUUUUUUUUUGAACACGCAAAAUGCUAACAGUGAAACAAUUCAACAGGAGCAUCUCUUCAUUGUCACUGAAUUAUUACGCGCAAAUCUGUAUGAGUUUCAGAAAUAUAAUCAAGAGUCUGGUGAUGAGCUAUACUUUUCAUUGCCCAGAAUACAGGUAUGUGUGACUAUUUUGUGAUCAAAUAACUGCGUAUAACUGUUAUAUGGAACCGUUAAUUAUUCUGUGAACUCUGAUCGUUAAAAUUCAAAUAAUCAGAAAAAGCAUUUAUAGCUAACCAUGUAAUAUCCUACUCUCUCUGUUCCAAAAUGUGAGAGGUUUUAGUUUUAUCUGAAGUCAAACUUUAAUUUUGACCAAGUUUAUAGGAAAAAUAUAUUAACAUCUACAAUAUCAAAUAAAUGCACUACCAAGACAUUCUUUGUGGUGAAUUUAAUGAAACUGAUUUGAUGUUGUAGAUAUUGGUUUAUUUUCUAUAAACUUGGUCAAAUUUAGAGAAGUUUGACUUAGGAGAAAACUUUACAUUUUGGAACAGAGGGAGUACUUCGUUUGGUCUUUGUUCAUCAACUAUCUGAGUAUAUAUUUUUAAAAAUGAUUGAAUAAAUAGUCUAAGUGUGGUUAAAUUUUAUUAGGUGGAAACAAUCUCUGUACUUCUGUAAAAGAAAGUUUUUUUUCGAUCUUUGUUGAUCAACUAUCUGAGUAUAUUUUUUAAAAAAUGUUUGGAUAAAUACUGUAAGCGUGAUUAAAUUUUAUUAGGUGUAAAGAAAAAAUUGUCUACUGAAAUAUGAGCCUUUUGUCUUGCUUUCAGGCUAUUGCUCGGCAAUGCUUGGAGGCUUUGGUGUUCUUGCAUCAUUUAAACAUUGUUCACUGUGACCUGAAACCAGAGAAUAUCCUUCUGAAGAGCUACAGCAGAUGUGAAAUCAAGGUUAUUGAUCUUGGAAGCAGCUGCUUUUUGUCAGACAACUUAAACUUAUACAUUCAAUCACGCUCGUACCGAUCUCCUGAGGUCAUCCUGGGUUUGCCAUAUGAUCAGAAAAUUGACAUUUGGUCCCUUGGCUGCAUCUUGGCUGAACUGUACACGGGUGAAGUAAGUUUUCAUCUUGACUUCCUAUUCUAUGUUUUGUUUGGUAUUAUACUAAACUCUCAACACAUUGAAAUCUUGUAUGCAGCGAAAGAAAAUGAUUCUUAGAAAAAGCCUAUUGAAAUUACAAAUAUGAUCGUGCCGACAGUUAAAUCCUUACGUGUCUUUUAAGCUUAUCUUGCAACUGUUGGCAAUUUUUUAUAACAGCCCCUACUGUGGUAAAUAACUGUCAGCACAACCUAAUUUGUCAUUGUGUUGGCAUUUACUGUGGCAAAUAACUUUUGGCAUUUGAUGUUCUCAUUGUGUUAUGUUACCUUGUUUUGUUACUCUCUUAAUCCAGAGAAGACCAAUAUACAGGAACUCCACAGGUGCUUGACUCGUUUAAAAAGAACCUUAGGUGGCAUUGCAUUAAGAAGAAAUAGGCACCCAAAUUCAAUUGAAGAAGACACUAACCUGGGUGGUGGCUUCAUUCCUGUGGUUCCUAAAGCUUAUGAUUAAACAUCUGAAAAUUACUUGCAGUUUAGAAUGCAUAUAAUGGGGAAUCAUUAUGUUGAUAUGAUCUUUACUGAGUCUAUUUGAACUAAAAAUAGUAGUAGAGACUGAAAGCAAUGAGAUUGCAUGGAAUAAUAUAUUGGAUUGAUAGAGGGAUAGGUGUACAUAUAUAUAGGGGUGAGGAGAUCUUGAGGUUUAUGGAAACAGAACCAAUCAAGAUCUCCCCGUAUCCCUCUAGCUAUCCAGGGCCGGCCUAGCGCAUACAGCACAUAUACAUUGUCUAACAGAGACUAUGUUCUGCUUUUUGAAAGAAGUCAUAUGUGAUUGCAACCCCUUCAACAUGUCACAGGUGCUCUUUCCUAAUGAGUCAGUACCAAUCAUUCUUGCUCGCAUGAUCGGGACAAUUGGUCCAAUUGAUACGGAAAUGCUUGCGUUGGGACAGGAGACACAGAAGUACUUCACAGAUGACCAUGACCUUUUCCACAAAAAUGAGGUAACCAUUGGAUUAUAUGCCAAUAUUAUCAACAUAACUUAGUUUGCACAUAUAGUUCAAACCAAAUCUGUGAUGUUAUAUGUGCCAAUUUUUGCAUUAUGACCUGAAAAUCCUAGUCUUUGUUUAGUUUUAAGGACCCCUUGUACCACAUGAGUGGCAUGGUAAAUGCCACCAGCAGUACAGUUACUUUGUAUUUUUGCAAUAGAGGCUUAUUUAUGCUGCAGCACUUUUUUUAAUUUUUUUAUGCCAUAUACAAAACCUCAAAUAGUGUAGAAGUAAAAGCUGAUAGCUCAAAUACCUGUGCCUGCGAAAAUAAUGUUGUACCAAGUAACAUAACCAAUAGCAACAAGAUACUGUUUGGAAGAAGUCUCAACUCGCAAAGAAAAAGAGGUCUUCUCAUUCUGCUUCAUCGCUAAAGAAAGUAAGAAUCUGAUCUGCAGGUGCAGGCUCGAUGGUUAACACCCAAUCAAAUAGGUUGCUGUUUACUUCGAUCUGGCUCCCCUGUCAAUAUGUAUUAGUAUCCCAGUUAGUUGUACACCAUCCCCGCGCAUCGUUUUUAGGGGCACAAGAACCCAACAGUUUAACCCUGCACUUAUACUAAAAGGCAUAAUUUGUUUGUUUUCACUAUGAAGAUCUUUGGCAUAGGAAGUUAAGUUGUUUGUUCUUUGCUUAGUUUCAUUCAGCACACAGUACUUGUUUUUCUUAUUCCAUUUCCUGUUAAAAAAAUCAGGAGACAGGUCAGUUGGAGUAUCUGAUCCCAGAGAAAUCAUCUUUGAAGCGCCACUUGCAAUGCCCCGACAAGAAGUUUGUUGAUUUUCUCUCUUACCUGCUGCAAAUAAAUCCCAAAAAGAGACCAACGGCCAUUGAAGCAUUGCAACACCGAUGGCUUUCAGUAGUAUAUAGUUGAGCUUGCCAAUCAAGCUCUUUUCUCACAAAUAGGGUUACAGUUUCUGAAGUUACUCAUCUAUCCUCACAAGUAGGGUCAGUUUCUGAAGUUACUCGGCUCAUGGAACAACACGUUUCCUUUUGGAGCAUGAUUUGGCUUCGUGGGAUUUUUUUUUUCAAGGUCAAUCCUUGGCAAUGAAACCCUGUUUUGCGACGUGAAUGGAUGGUGUAUACACGCUAGUUGGUGCAUGUAAAUAUGAGAAAAGUUACCUGUUGUAUCUGUACAGUUGCCAUGUACUACGAUGUAAUUGGUCCAACUCAUGAUAUAGCCAAUAAAAUUGUUGUUUCAGUAUUCCUUGAUUUACCUUUGACGUUACUCUUAUGUAAUUUAUGUAUUCUGAGUUAACUGAAUUUUGUGGUUUUUUAGUGUUGACCUACGAUUUAUUUCAUCUCAUCAGCAAAUAAUCAACCAAAUUCUUGUGUUUAAGUUUCAAUUAUGGACGUGCUACGUUCACUAGGUGACAAAUUGCUAAGAUGCAAUGAAGAUAAGAGACCUGCCAUGAAAGUUACUUGAGGAAGAUGACGAGACGUGCAAAAAAAAUUCUCAUGUCACAAAUAUGUAUGUAUAUGCUUGUACAUCAUUAUAAGACCAUCUAGAACUUUACUGCCUCAGGUUCGUGGAACUAUUUGUUAGAUCAUCGAGCUGUCAAUGACAGAAACAGAAAGAAGUGCUAUACAAGGAUAAAGUAAGAAGCACAUCACAAAUAAAGGUCUAUAAUUGUGCUGAAUUACAAUUCAUUUUUAUCCCUUACCCUCCCCUUGAACAUGGUUACUCCGCAUUGAACAAAAUCUUCAUGCAUCUAUACAUAUUGUACAAACAUUCUCACAUGUUGCCUAGCUGGCUUAGCCUUCCAGUAAUCCUAUGUGUCAGUUGUAAUUCCUAAACUGCUUGUUCAAUUUGUGGGAUUCCUUGUCCUUGGAACCACUCUGGCAUGUGAAACGUUUCAUACAAUGCGGGCCUAACAUCUUUUUGCAGAGAAAGGUGCUUGAGAAGCGGGAAUAUCGUUCCCAUAAGCUAAAAUUCAAGAACAUAUUAACGGAUCAGUAACAUUAGAAAUUAUAAGUGUAGAGCCAGAGAAUUAUUGAAGUACCGAGUCAGUAUACCUGAUCAUCAAUAGGUUGUCCAGCUGAAAAUGUAAUACAAGGUAUUCCAUUCAAUGGUUGAAGUAAGAAACUGUACGGAUUGUUAUCAACAAGGACAAUUCUCUGGAAAUCUUUGGACAAACAAGAAAGAUCUUUUACAUGAUCUCUGUAUUCCCUGAAAUUGUAAACAUACAACAUCAGAAGACUGAACCAGUUCACUUAAUGCAACAAAGAACUUAAACUCACUGAAUAAGUACUUUUCCCAAUCAGACUGGUACAAAAGCCAAAAGUACACAAGCAAAUUACAAUCAGCAAGACAUGACGGAUAAUGGAACCAUCAGUAAAGCCAGAUUAGUGAGUGGUUCACAGGAAGUGAUUCAAUAACUACAUAAGGUAGCGAAGUCAGCAGCAAAUCGGAAGAAAAGGUGAAUCUCCACCAGCAUGAACAGAAUGUUCUCAAGCUGUUGCAGAAUCACUUGUGAGUUGUAAAUUUCUACUUGAAACUUACCAUACAAUUGAAUGCAGUUGAGGCCACAUUUUACUAUUUUAUGAGCAAGAAACCUCAAGAACAGAACAGCCCAUCAAUAACAGUAACAGCUUAUGGAAAUGCGAAUGAUAACUUACGUAGUAACAGUUGAUGGACGAUAGAGACGGUGAAUGAAUCUGUUAUGAGCAUCUAUCCUGUCAACUAGAGGUUUUGCAUAACCUGGGUAAGAGCACAGAUCAGUGGCGUGAGGUGGAAUCAACUUGGCUCUUGCUGUAAAAAAAUACAAAUAGUUGAGAAGAUCAAACCUUCCAAACCAGCUGUAAAGAGAACAAGGUCAGCAAAUUCGCUAGUUCGCUGCAAAAACUCGUGCAAACCAGGACGCUCAAAGACAGUUACACGAUUUACCCUCUGCCUUCCUUCAGCAUCCUGUAAACAUGAAGCACUUCCUGUAAGUCCCUUUCUAAGAAGUAUACUGAAAACACAAAUAGAUAAGCAAGAGGCACAAACAACACUGCAGUAUACUUGCCUUUUCAGCCGAUGUGCACUCCAUGUCAAAGCAACGCAAUCCUGCUUCAACAGCCUGGGUGCGCAGAGUAGCAGGAAGGCUCGAUGACUCGUAUGCAGAAACUAGAGUUUCAUCCAAGUCAAGCACCACCUGGAAAUUAUGCAAGUAUCAUAGGAAGUUCAUUCAAGCAGGCUUGAUGAUGAUAACUAAAACAGGCAAAUACGUGGACACUAUAAAAAAUUAUAGCCUAGAAUCAUGUUAGUACCAAUCAAUUAGUCAGAAGUCUUGCCAAACAAAUCAUAACACACACCAAAUCUCAAAAUUGAACUUGCUGAAAAGCUGUGUAGCGUGUAGGUAAUAAUCACAACUUUUCAGUUUUUACCAUUCCACUCGAUAGUGCCCUGCGCCCGCACGAUUCCAGCUCCAAAACCAUAUCCAUUUAGCCCGCGGUUCAUUAUUACGAAUAAUAUCAUAAUCCCAACUGAUACUUGACCUUCCCCAAACUACCAAAGUCACCAUCAUUUCGCGUGCCCAGCAGGCCAAAGCAGGGAGGUCCGUACCGUGAGACGCCGGAGCGGCGGAGGCGAGGCGUCAGCGGGUGCCUCGGAGGGGAGCUGCACGAAGGCCACCUCAGGCGAGGGCUGCGCCUGGGCGGCGACUGGGAGAAGCGGGUGGCGCAGGCCCACGAAGGAGAGGAGCUGCGCCCACGAGGAGGGCGUGCCGCGGACGAUCCGGAGCAGGAUCUGGAAGAGCAGGCCGAGCCACCCCGCCACCGCCCGCCAAACCGCCGCCGCCGCAUGGCCGCGCUGCUGAACUGGCGCCACCUCCGUCGCCGCCGACAUCUUUCUGGAGGCGGAGACUAGCCGGGAGGACGGAGCGGGGAGGAAGCAAUCAUGGAGUGGUCGACUGCUCCGUAUUUCCUUUUUGUGGGGCCCGCUUCCCUGGCCGGAACGGUGAAAUCCGUGACAGCCGCGUUCGAGCCGACAAAAUACCCUGCCUCGUCCGAAUUGGUGUUGUUUUACACGGCUGAAAAAUCAAAAAAAAAUGGCACGCUAUAAAAAAAAGUCAUUUAUUCUACGAGAAUAAUACAUUCAUAUGUUGAUGAAAAAGAAUUAACACGGGAAUAGUCAGAUCUGAACGCCAGGGGAUAAAAAUUGUUACGAAUCAACACGACGGUCGACGGGAUCUCAUCCAAUUCACAGACCUCUUAUAAGGAUUAACAACUUAGGAGGUGUUUGGAUCCCCGAGCUAAACUUUAGUCCCUGUCACAUCGAAUAUUUGGACAAGUAUUAAACAUAGGCUAAUUACAAAACCAAUUUCACAACCCCUAGGCUAAAUCGCGAGACGAAUCUAUUAAGCCUAAUUAGUCCAUGAUUUGACAAUAUGGUGCUACAGUAAACAUUCACUAAUGAUGGAUUAAUUAGGCUUAAUAGAUUCGUCUUGUGAUUUAGCCUAGGGGUUCUGCAAUUAGUUUUAUAAUUAGCUCAUGUUUAGUUCUCCUAAUUAGCAUCCGAAUAUCCGAUGUGACACGGACUAAACUUUAGCUCCAGGAUCUAAACACUCCCUUAUUCAGUAGUAUCAGACAGUCGAUACUAUCAGCAAUGGAAGAGCAGUUGCCCCUCAUCAUAGAGAUGAAUUAUAUGCAAGUCAGGUGAAAGGAUACGGGGCUCACGUGUCAGCGACUUUCAAUUCAUAGUAGAGGAUCUCCCCCAACGCCUACGCCAUUGUAAGCUUGGGAUAGCAGAGGAAAAAAAUCAUCGUCAUGGUCCUCAUCCUCGUUACAUGAACUAACAACGGCGCUGACGUUCGAUGGGAUAUUUCUCGUCGGACGCUCCGACAAAAUAUUAAAAAUUAUCUAAUACAACAUCAGCGAUUACUGUUUACAACAUAAAAAAUAAUAAAAAAUAAUGUGUAAAAAUAAUUCCGUCGGAUGGAAAAUUCUUGCCGUAACAUGAACACUAUGUUUCAUGCAAUAUUUACUAUGAAACAUGCAGAAAUAAUAGUUUAACUGAUUUUUUUUAAUUUCGGACGUCCCUUUUUUUUUGCAUUACCGAACUAACAGUCGCGUGAUCACAUCAAAGUGGGGGCCAUUUGCCGUCCACCUCAUCUAGCCGUGCUCUAUGAUCAAUCUGAUGCAUCCAUGAUGGAGCCACACGUGUCCUCGGCACGCUGAACCGCAUGACAAAAACACCGCUCCUGCGUGCAGAUGUUCGGUUCACUUCAGCGUCAGGAAUGAACAAGCGCGGCCCCAUUGCCUCUCUCAAGAACACGUGCAGCGAACGAGUUUGCCAUCACCAUCGAUCGCAAUCACGUACGGCGCAGAAAUCACGGCACCGCCGCGAUGGUCAACACAAGACCAGCGAGCAGGGAGGCCCCCGCCUGAUUGUUUCAUGCCUGCCCGUCUCCUUUUUCUAGCUGCGCGGUGGCAGAAAGGAAAGCCGAGCCAGCGCGGCGCCCGCGGACGUCCCAACCCCGCCUUGACCGUUGGCGGCUCCGCAUCCCAAAUCAGACGCCUCCUCCCUACCCCUCGGCAAGCGGAGCAAUCGAGGGUGGUUGGUCCGCCGAGGCGGGGGAGAGCGAGCAUGGUGAGGGCCCUCGACAGCUAUUCCUCCAUCAAGGACGUCGCCUACAGGUUCGUCCCCCGGCUGCUCCAUGGGCUAGUUAGUUGGAUCGAGAACCGAACCCUAGGCUUGCAGGAUAGUUUUCCGAGAUCUCUGUAGUUCAUUUCCCUUUCUUUUUUCCAAGGAAAACGGGCCCUUUUCACUCCGCUGGUAUUUGUUUCUUCACCUGGUUUGUGGCCCCAAAGCAUAGUUUUUGUCUGAGUGUUCUUGGGGAUUCAAUCUGGGAAUCAAGUUGUUCGGUUCAGGUGGUGAUAGUUAGAUGUUUACUCCUUUGGUUUUAGUUAGUUUUGCUUGCCUGUUAUUAGUGGCCUUCUUACGAAUUAAACUGGAUCGAUCAGAUAAACGUGUUUGGUUUGCAGUAUAUUAUGACCUGUGAAUGUGACACUGAGUGGAAAUCAGUGUGCGCUCAUGAAAACUGGCUCCUGAUGUUUACUCUAGUAGAGAGAAACAGAUGAUAGGCCAUAAUUUAGAUAUACUGUAGUAUGGUAGUUUCAGUUGUGAAAUAUUGUAGCUCAAUUUUGGUGACAUCUUGAAUUUGUUUCUUGCUGGCAGCUGUGGAUACUGCGGCUAUGCAUUAAAUUUGAGCUCCUCCACACGGAACACGGCCAACAUCGGAUCCAAGUAUGGCAAGCAGAUCAGGAAAGGUGUUGUCUCAUUCUUUGCAAUUGAUGAGAACCGUUUUACACAAACCGAUGAGGUGAGCUGCAUGCCAUACUUCCAUUCAAGCCGUUCAUGGGGCUUCUUCAGAAACAGGACACGGUUGCUCUGUCGGAAAUGCAGUGGUCAUAUUGGUAAUGCUUAUGAAGAUGAGGAUUUCACUUUGUGCGAAGCCUCAGAUGAUCUGGACAUGAGCUCCAAGAGCAGCAGCACAUCCACUCGGAAGAAAUAUGUUAUCAAGAUCAAUGCACUACAGCCCUCAUCGGACGAUGACUCUGGUGCUCUCUUCUCCCGUGAUGGCAAUCUGAAUUCUGAACUGCAGCCAUGUGUGCCUUGUCAUGUUAACUGAACUGCAAACGGAGUCAAUUGAGAACCAAGAAAUGCUCAGUAUUGUCAAGAACUUUUUAUAGGGGAAUUUGCUAUCUUUGUUCUGUUUCAGACUUUCAGUCCAUCUUCCUGCUCAUAUUCUAUAGCUCCAUUUCCCUUCUGCAGCAGUGUAAAGUGUAUAUCUUGGCAGGACUAGUGAAUUUUGAUUGUGUGAAUACUAAUGUAAAAUGAUAGGGUUUUUGCGUCUAUUCUGUAACUUGCCUCCAGACUCCAGAGUGUUUGCACUGUGUUCUUAAAGUUGGCUGCAGUUACAAUUUUGAGACUUCUAGUAUCAGGUAUCAAUUCAAUAUACAUGUGUUGUUGUGUCUGAAUGCGCAUGGGCGUGGCAUGCAAUUGUAGAUUUCAAAGAGUAAACAAUGUAUCAGGAUAUUGUAAUAUGUCUUUUGAAUUUUGUCCAUUUGAAGGUUAAGGAUAUGGUGGUUUUCGCAUAUUUUGUGGGCAGAUUUUUGGUUUAUAGAAGCUAUGCCAAUGAACAGAUUAAUCCUAAUGGAUGUUAUUUGAUUUGAUUAUUUGAUUUGAUAUACUCGUUUCAUUCAUUUUCUGAUAAGUUGUGGUUGCCAAAUGGAUUAUUCAAUAGGUCUUGGAGACAAUAAACAUUUAAACUUAUCCUGUUCAUCACCACUGAUGUUCCUUUUUGCUUGAGGCUGUCCGUCAUCAGGCCUCAAUUCCAACAUUUUAAGCCCAACCCAUUGUGAUACUCUACUGGUAGGCACAGAUCCUGAACAUGUUUUUGCUAGGAAGAAUAGCAUGUAAACUAAAUCUACAUUUCUUGUUCAAAGGUGGCUCACUGCAAAUCAAUUAUUGAACAAGGUGCAAAUCUAAAUGAAAUUUACCUCACUCAACGAAAGUAAUCGCAGGAAACAAACCAGACUUAUUGCAAAACGGCAAAUAAACCCCACUGAAUAAUUCAACUUCACAAGAAACAGAACCAGCAUGCACAAUUAACAACCACAGGAUUCACAGAACUACUUUUGUUUGUAACUGCAAAUAAGAAUCACAUAUAUCACAGAACAAGCUACAUUUGCAUUGAAAACGACACAUUGCACAACAAGCUUGAUUUCUAAUAUCAGAUCAUUUCAUUACUGUCUCAUGAUUCAGAUAAACCUACUACAGCCAGAUGUGAGCUAAACAAGCGAGUCUGAAACUUUCUUAACCGCAAGACUUGUGAGCACGGCCAGACAACGUCGGAGCUGCAGGAGGGAGACAGCAGGGGACGGGCGCAUCAGCCUCUAGCCGCCGAAGCCGUAGAGGGUGCGGCCCUGGCGCUUGAGCGCGUAGACGACGUCCAUGGCGGUGACGGUCUUGCGGCGGGCGUGCUCGGUGUAGGUGACGGCGUCGCGGAUGACGUUCUCGAGGAAGAUCUUGAGUACGCCGCGGGUCUCCUCGUAGAUGAGCCCGGAGAUGCGCUUCACGCCGCCCCUCCUCGCCAGCCGCCGGAUCGCCGGCUUGGUGAUGCCCUGGAUGUUGUCGCGGAGCACCUUCCGGUGGCGCUUCGCGCCGCCCUUGCCGAGCCCCUUACCGCCCUUGCCGCGCCCAGACAUGCUUGCCAACGGAGCUGGAUUCCUCGGAGGAGUGGAUCGAAGUGAAGAUGGGGAUUCAAGGUGUGAUUGGUGCUUGGAGUGGGGGAUUGGUGGAAGAGUGGGGAGGGGUUUAAAAGGAGGCGAGGGGAGGAAGGAGGGCGGUGGCUGCCGUUCGAUGCGGAGGGGAUGGACGGGUGGGAUGGGGGCGCGGGAGGGAUGCCGCGGAUCCGUGACGUGGCGCGAGGGCGGAUCGGUGAGUUGGCGUGGCGGGUCUGAAAUUUCGUACGAAGAGGCGGGCUUGUGAAGGUUGGGGACGAAAAUUUCAACGCAGGGCCCGCAGGGGUCGUGGUUUCGUGGGCUUUUUUUCUGGAACUGCAUUUGGAUUUGGCAUCGUUGCACAAACGAGGAACUAUUACUAUAAAUUUACAUCCUCCCAAAAAAUCAUAUAAAUUUACAGAUUUCCUAUCUUACCCCUUUUUUUUAACUUACAGGUUGAGAAAUUUCUGAUAUGUUUAUCCUGCUUUUACGGAAAUUGCACUAUUUUGUUACCGUUCGUUAAAAAGGUCAGAUGUCCAUUUUUUUUCUGAAGUAAUGUUUUCAAUGAAAAAUAUCUUAAUAAUCACAGGCUCUAGUUUGCAAACUAAUUGUGUUUAUGUUUAUUUUAAUAUUAUCUUGAUUGGGUGCUUGCACUUUUCUAAAUUUAUUUUAGUAUUCAACAGCAUGUUAUUCUUUCAGUAGGUGACAUGUCGGUCAAAAGUGAGACACCUGCGCGGUGACUUCAUUGAUCUUGAGAUUUGAGAGUCAAUCUUCCAGAGAUGCUCAUACGCUAGAUUUGUGUGCAUAUAUUUUACAUGAAUGAAGGAUGAGUGUCAUGUGUGCUUGUAAUGGUCCGAGUAUGUUUCGCAAAAAAUAUAUACAAUACUAGUUUGUAUCUUUAUGGGCAUGUAACAUCAAAACAAAUACACUUUUUAUGAAUAUUAUGCACACCGGAAACGGAUCCAACGUGGAGACUAUGGUUUGGAGCCCCUUUACCCCAUGAAUUUCAUGCAGCCCUCAAAGCACUUAUAAAUUUUAUAAAUUUUAGCGGGCACUUAUAAAUUUUAUAAAUUUUAGCUAUAGAUGAAGAAGGGGAAGGAAGAAGAAGGGAAAUAUUAGCCCUGUAGUUUGUGGCAUUGGAUCUGCGUCUAAUUGCAUAUAAAUAUGGAUAAGGUUAAAAAUGAUUAUGAUUAUCAAAUUUUAUAAAAAAAAAACUUGAACUGAGGAUGGAUGCGUGUUGAUCAAUCGAGGUGUCUGCGUGCUAAAAAAAAGUUAUAGGCAGCAACUCUGGAGACACCUGCCAUGUUCUACUCCCUCCGUUUUAAUUUAUAAAGCGCACAUGCAUAUCAAAAUUCAGACUUUGCAAUCUUUCACUAAUAAUUUAACUAUUAAUUUUUUAUUUUUAUAAUAUACACUUUAUAUGGUUGGACUUGUAAUCAAUAUUCUCUACCAUGACUAUAAAUAUAUAACCAUAAGUAAUAUAAUAUAAGAUAAAUGAAUAGUCAAGGUGUUACUUGGAAGACCGUGCUAAGUCAUAUUAUGCCUAAUAAAAAUAGAUGGAGGAAGUAAUUGCUAAUUCAUAUUGAUUUGCAAAAUACAGACAUUUCUUAUGAAAUUUGUAAAGGUUGUUAGACUUUUCGAUCAAAUCAUUAGGAAUUUACCCUUUACUAAAUUGAAUUAAAGAAUUCUGAUUAUUAGUUUGGAAUAUUUUAGAGUAACGGCUAGUCUGAGUAAAAUGCAUCACUAAACUAGUACCAAAUUCUCACAUGAAGCACUAACUUGCAAAUGCUACACGGCACGUCAUCAAACUUGCAUAUUUGUUCAACGGAGUUUUCCAAUGUGAGAAUCUGGUACUAGUUUACUGAUUUAAGUAUCUUGCCCUUCACGCCAUCCACUUAAGGUAUGUUUGUUUGACCUGCAGUUUUUGGAGCUUUCUACAAACUUGUUGCUAGCCUUUUUAAUUUUUAGAAAAUACGUUUACCUUUUAUGGACUUCUACCUUUUCGAAAGUUGCACGAGAGUUUGUUGUUUGUUCAAUCUUCUAACUUUUCACGCUAAGAAGCUGCUAGAAAGCUCAAACAAAUAAACCCUUUGGUACCGCUGAACAUAACUUGAGGAAAGCACAUUCAAAAGCAACUCUAGCUCCACAAUUCCCUUAAGCUCAAUGAUAACAAGUAAAGUUUUGUGAGUUUGGGUGAGAGAUUGGAGAUUGAGUGCAUCCGAGUCUUGUUCCCGUCAUCUUUUAAGUUUUAUAAGCACUUGAGUUACUAGGAUGGCACACGCGCUUCGCCGCGUGCGGAGGAAGUCCCACAAACUGUCGAAGACCCACGCUCAUCCUGCAUCAAAUGGAAGUCAUAAACAUGAACCUCUUCUUCUUUUUUUUUUGGCAAAAACAUGGGCCUCUUCAAUGGUUUGAGAGAUUGAUCUCACAGUUUCCAUUUCACUUACAGCUUUAACAUUAUGAGAGGGUAGGAUCAACCUAGGUAAAAGGGAAAAUUGUACCUGAGGUGGGGAUGACAGAUAUAUCUGAAACCUUUCCGACAGAAAAAGAUAUAUCUGAAAUGUGGUCAAAGGAUAACAUACAUUUAGUAGGCAAAUAAGGUUUUAAGAUACCAUAUUUUUGUUGUGACCAAUUUGGUGUGGCAGGGGCUGUAAAACAUAUUAUGGCAAGAUAAGAAGUAAAAGUGAACCAGAGGCAUGUAUCAACCUUACAUUAAUCCAAGCCCAAAGAGAAUUAUGAUUGCCCAACAUCAAAAGCAUUAUUGUCUAAAGCAUUCAUCGGACAGCUUACAUUAUUUUAGCUUCAUACAGUAAAUGAUCAUAGAAAAAAAUAGUUAGGUGAAUAUAAUGUUUUAAUCCCAAAUUUCCACUAAACGAAAAGGAGUGAGAGAAAAGAAUGAAGAAUAAACCUGCUGAAAUCAUCUAGCAAAAUAUGACAUGCAGGUGGAUGAGCAUGUUUGAGUUGCUAGGUAAGACUAAGCUGAAUAAACAUAGCCUUCUUGGUCCAGACACAGAGGUGGCAGGAUAUGUUCCUGUUUGCAGUAGAAUACAAAACAAUAGUUCACAGUAUGAGAUUUAGAAGAAACUUGGAUGCAUAAAAAGACUUUUGACCAUUUGGAAAAGCACAGUGGUUGCUUUGACUAUUAAUUUGGCGCAAAAAAAAAAACAGAAGUGCGUAUCCUCACUAAAUUGGCGCCAAAAAAACCAGAAGUGAGUAUCCUCACUGAACACUCAAAUAUGGUGCAACAGGAAUAACUGUCGCCUCGUCUAUAUAAACCAACAUGUUUCUCCAGGCUACCAAACCGUAUAACCGGACCAGCGAUGCCCUCUGUGAAAUCAAGCAAUUACACAGCACCAUCUUGAAAUUUGAAGUGAAAAUCAAAGAACAAUACCAGAUGAAAAAUCGGCAUCCGUGUUAUCUUAGUCAUUGCUUUUUUAUCCCGAUGGCAUACGCAAUAACUAAUAACGCUUCGAAGCAAUAACAUUAAUAUAGCUAUAGACUUUGCAGCAGAGAUACCGAUAGUUUAGUUCUGCUAUCUACACAUAACGGCUAAUUUAGUAAAUUAACCUCAUAGAUCAUAUUGGCAGCAGUUAUCUUAGAUAUAGGUAGUUGAUUACGAUGGCACACGCAUUAAACUAAUAAUGCUUCAAAGCAAUGGCAUUAAGAUAGAUAUAGACUUUGCAGCAGAGGUAUCAAUUGUUUAAUAUAUUCUGCUAUCUCCAUAUAAAAUGAUAAUUUAUCCAUUUAUCCUCUAAAUCAGAUACCAGGGUGCACAUUUAAAAUUUCCAAAGAAGAAUAAAAGUCCACGCCUGCAAAUUGAAGUACACGAAGCAUAUGAAAUUAACAUGAACUCAUAUUAAGGCUCGUUUGGUAGGGUUACGGCUGUGGCUGUGACUUCUCCAGUGGAGCAGCUUUUUUAGCUCCGACUUGUGUGGUUGAGAAAAUGUUUGGUAAAACGACUUCUUCAAAUGGACAGAACAGUGAAAUAUCCGUAACACCCCUAUUUUUUUACUUUUUUUCUCUUCCCUUCUUUUAUUUCCCUUUUUCCCUUUUCCCUUCCUAUUCUUUUUUCUCUCUCCUUUAUUUCCAUCUUCCUUAUCCAUUCACCGGCUUCCUUAUCCAUUCAGCAGCCCUCCCCGUUCUUUUCUUCGCGGUCCACGCGUCGACCGUUGUCGCACUACCGUGACCGUUGUCGCACUACCGUUGCCCCCCACCUUACCUGCCACCGGCCAGCCCCAACCUCUCGGUGCCACACCACCGUCGCCCCCUACCUUAGCCGUCGUUGGCCAGCCCCAGCCGGCGCACCCCAUCCUCCCGCCAGCCCCGUCGGCUGCCCGACUUUCGCGGUCACUGCCGCACAGCUCGCGCCCGUCGGCCGUCGCUGACUGCCUUCACCCCUUACACCCAUCGCCGGCCAUCUUCACCCUCGCCCCCUGCCGCAGGCCGCCUUUGCCCAUCUCCAGCCGCGGUCGGCCGCUUGGUGUUGCCUGCUGCAGCCUCCGCCUGCUCGCAGGCCCUCCACCAAGGGCAAGGAUGGGAAACGAGGAAGAGGAGCCAUGGGGAGCUGGUUUUUUGGACUCCUCCUUCCUCUUCCGGCUCCUCUCAGCACAAAAUGCGGGGUUCCGAUGAUGAAGCUGUUUCGCAUCCUCCCGUUUGGCAGGGCUUCAGGAGAAGCCGGUGGAAAAGCCGCUUAAGAAGCCCUGCCAAAAAGGGCCUAAGGGCCCCUUUGGCACAGCUUCUCCAGGGGCUUCUCCAUCAGCUUCUGAAUAAGCCGUGCCAAACACUUCUUCUGAAAAUAGCUUCACUCCUGAGGCUCCGUCAAAACCCGCUGAGCCAUUCGAGGGAGCGGGAGCCAAAAAAAAUUGGCUCCCCGCGGCUUCUCCCCAUCAGUUGCCAUCUUUGUCCACGGGAGAUAGAGAUGAUGGCGGCGCGGGUGAGGUGCUCGAGUGGAGCUAGGCCGGGGCGGAGGGCGACGAUGGCGUGGAUGAGGCUGACUGACGUGGGGCGGAUGGCGACACCGGCAUUGACGAGGCUGACCGGCCUAAAACGUAUGGUAACGGCGGCGUGGACGAGGCUGCAGGAUGGAGGUGCGAGCCGCCUGGGGCGUGAGGUGGAGGAGGCGACGUUGGGGCCGUGGGACGUGAGGCGGUGCUAGGGGCCAGCGGACCGCGGCGCCGGGAGCGAAAGCAGUGGGGGGCUGGUGGAGGGACGAAACUCUGGAGGUGGCGGUGGAGCAGAGACGCUAGCGGCGGAGGCGCUUGGACCGGCGGUGGAGCUGCGGCGGCGCUGUGGAUAAGGAGAGAACAGGGGCGAGGAAAGAAAAAUAAAAAAAAGAAGGAAAGAGAAAUAAAAAAGAAGGGAGAAAAAAGAAAUAUGGAGAAAAGUGAAAAAAAGUGAAAGAAAAUAAUGAAGGGCAUUGUGGACAUUUCACAUUUCUAUCAUUUUAAAUAGCACGAAGAAGUCGUUUUGCCAAACGUUUUUCUAACCAAUCAAGCCAGAGAAAAAAAAUUACUCCGCCAGAGAGAAAAAUUACUCUACCAGAGAAGUCACAGCUAGAGCUGUUUCAGCUACGACCAAACGAGCCCCAAUGUAAUAUACAGAGCGUCAUCAGAUAGAAGGAUAUGGACCCAUAUAUGAAAUUAUGCUACAUGGAUAAAGUGUGCUUUAACAAAUGGCUGCACAAGCUAGUGAUGAUUAAACUCCCCUUUGGGAGGGCUUCUUGGUCUGCUUCUACAGCGGCUUAUGCUGAAGCCCUCCCAAAUGGGAGAAAUCAAAACAGUUUCACCUUGAAAGCUACGGAGAAGCUCUCCAAUAGCUUGUCCCGGCUUCUCCAUCUCCAUUGCAAUCAUUUCGUGAAAUUACCUCUGUUGCUCGAUGGGGAUGGUGCCACCGGUGAGAAUGGUGGCCUGGCAAUGAGGAUGCUUACCUGUGGGCGUAGCUCGACUUGUGGAGCAUGGAGCGGUGGGGGAGCACCAACCUGCUGGCCGGGGCAGACUGCAGCCGCCGCCGCAUGCUGGUGAAGGUGGGUAGCAAGAUCCGGUGGCACCAUGACUGGACGGCGCAAGCCAAAAGGAACAGCAGGAGCGGUGCGGUGAUCCGGUGGCAAGGAAGCGGGUCGGUGAGCCGGUGGCAAGAGAGCGGUGCGGCCGGAGCGUGUGGCUCGUGAGGAUGGUGAAGAAAAGAACGGUGGGAAUGGAUAAGGUAGACCGACCAGAAAGGAAGAAACAAGGAGAAAAAAGAAGGAAAAAAAAAUAGGGAGAAAAAAAGGAAAAAAAAGAGAAAAGAUAUAAAAGAAGGAAGUAAGAGAAAUUCUUGAUAUUGUAUUGUUGGCUAUGUAUGUGUAAUCCUAAAUGCUUAUUAUUUUGUUAACAUGACUAUGUAAUGAGUACCUAAUUAUUAGCUUAAAUAUAUUUUAUAUUAUUAUUAUCUUUUUUCAUGCAAAUCACAUUAUCAACGGAGCUAACACAUAAAACUAUCCGCAACCAAUGUAAUUCUGUACAUUCUAAAAAGCUAAAAAGCUAAAAAGUUGGGAGAAACUAUUUUCCUAAAUAUUUUUCUAAUUCUGUAUAUUCUAAAAAGUUAGGAGAAGCUAUUUUACUGAAUAUUUUUCUAUGAGAAAAGUCAGAGCUCUAGGAGAAGCUAUUUUACCAAAUAUUUUUCUACGAGACAAGUCCGAGCUAGAAAAAAAAGCUGCCUAAGCUGAGCUACCGUGCCAAAUGGGGGCUCAAGUAUGCACGGUGAAAUAAUUAAGAAAAAUAUAUAAAUCAGGGAGAGGGGGCACCACGAGCAAACUCUAGCGCUGGGAACAACAUUGGAUUGCACGGACAUGUAGGCAGGAGGGGGACAGGGAGAACGAAGAGACGGGAGGAUAGAAGUGAAUGGACCCUGAUGUGGCUGGGGUGGAGACGGCAAAUUAACCCAUCCCUGUGUGAUCCUGAGCAAUAAUUUUGCAGCACGAAUGCACGAUGUAGAUGGAGGAAAUUUGUCAGCAUCGAAUUGACGGAACUUUACCCCAUCCGUGGUUGGUCCUCCACUCCAAGACUCGCCUGUUUUCACUUGACGCUCAAGUACGGAGCGGCAACGCUCCUUCCCUCGUCGGAGCCUUCGUGGUUCAGGUUACGUCGUCGCGGUCGCCGAUGUUGGCCACGACAGAGGUGGCGGAGGAGGAUGCAGUGGAGCUAGAUUCAGAGACGGAGCCGUCCAUGAAGUCGUCGCCACGUUGGGGCAAUUGGAAAGUGGAGGCCAUGGCUGCCGUCUUGGACGAUUCCGUGGUGAGGGACUGGGAGGAGACGAAUUUGACGGUGGGUUGGCCGCGCCACUGUUCACUGCUGGCCGUGCCGCCAUCACCGUUGGCGGAGUGCCGGCGCUGACGCGGUGGAGCGGUAGCCGUCGUUGGGGUUGGGGUCGACAUGCGGAGGAGGAGGACGGCCGUGGCCCAUGAGCUGGAGCAGGGCGAUGGGUUGGAAGAAGCCAUCGACGGCAUCGAAGGUGAGCGGAGGAGGCGAGGCUUUGGUCAGCGCUUGAUUUCUUUGCGAGUCAAGGACGACACCCUUGGUCGGCGGCCGUUGUCCACCACGCGGAGGCGUGAAGGAAACGCGACGUCGAUCGCAAUCCGUGGCGAUAGGUGCCGGUCAUCUGUUGGCCAACAGUAAGCGGUAACUUUUAACUAAGCGGUAACAGUGAAUGAAGCCCUGGGAGGCCAGCGAUUCUUACCGCGAUGUAUCUCUACUUAUUUGUCAGGCUGCAUCAACAUCGUAUCACCCGAUUUUACAGGCAAAACCAGAUGAUUAUUAUAUGUGUGUCAGGAUCAAGUUUCACACAUACGAUGAUUUCAGUAAAUAUCAAAUACAGUAUUAAAGCAUAAAGAGAGAGAGAGAGAGAGAGAGUUACAUAGAUUACGUAAUCAGGAAUGAGAUAAAAAUCUCUAGUAUAGGCAAGGAUCACCAACAACUCCACAGGCAGCUAACUGGGGGACUCGCCUAGAACUCCUCCAAAAACUCCGGUAGUAUCCUCAAAGUUCUCUGGAUCUGAGCAACAAUCUGGUUGUUGUAGAUGCAACAUAUAAAACACAAGUGUGAGCACAUGCCAUACUCAGCAAGAGAGAAAAUAUAUAACAUGCAAGGCUUUAUAUGGUGGAAGGCUAGGUUAACUGCGAUUAGCACUUCUAGUUGGUCAAGUUUUAUUCAAUAGCUAAUUACUAGCAAAUGUAAGUUUAUACCAUCCCACAAUUAAUAUAGAGCAUUGAUAUACCGAAAUCAUAUAACAAAUAACACAAGUUGUUUCAUCUUCAAGUGAAUUAAUCAUGUGAGAGUCCAGACCGCUCUUGACCGUGAGCACGGCUAAUAUAUCAGCUUCACACUUUGCAUAUGUUGUACACUUUCACCACAAGUCGUGUAAAAGUUUAGAAGAACUUUGGAUCCAACCAUGCUGUGCAAAAUUAGGCACUUAUCACACUACCGACGUGUGAUUGUAUAGGGACGCUACAAGCCUUUACAAAGAUUCCCUAAGUGAUAACCCGCUAAGGUUUCCUAAUAAGGGGAUGAACCUUCCCCCAAGUGGUGCGAACAUCCCUUGGCUGGACAAGCCAUUGCACAACCUAUGAGCCCAUCUUGCCCUUUUAGUAAGACUAUCACAAACUAGAGUCUCUAAUUAAUUAGCUAAGAUUAGAACCAUGUAGUUCUUAUGGUUGUACUGUUUUCCUGGGUGGUCGCUCCAUGUUCCGAUUAACAGAUAUGGUCUUGUAAUUAAAUCAACAUAGAGGAACAUAAAGUGAAUAAAUAAAUUUAUCCAUGUUGUUUAGUUACCAACCUAGUUGAGCAAAAUAAGCAUCAUCUACCAUCAAGUUUAAUUAAACAACCUGGCUGCAAGGUAUGAUCAAAAGAAACUAGGCAUCGUCCUCAAGCGAUAAAUAAAUAUUGUGAAUCAAUUACAUGUCAUUUAGGUGUAAACAGGAAUGAUCAAGGAUACUUGCCUUCCUUGAAACCCUGCUACUGCCUAGAGUCUCCAGUCUUCUACUUGUUCAGAUUCCUCGAACUAUGCUCCUUCUACACGCGUCACACGAGAACAUACAAGCAAAUAAAUGCAUAAAUGAGAAAACAGUACACUAAUCAAUAUAAACAGAAGAAAACAAGCUUACAAAACUAUUCUACGCGUCGAAACGAACUCGUGGACAUAAAGAACGCUAAAAACGGAGCUAUAAUGCAAAAGAUACGCUUAAAACAACCUACAGGGGUCUAUUGAGAAAACUAGACUUUCAGGGAUCUAACUGCAAGAAACCGAGGGCCUAAACAUAAUUAUACGGAUAAACCAAAGGUUUAAUGCGCAAAAGAGCAGCUCUGGACUGCGGAUGCUAUUGUGCUGAAGUCCAGGGUCCUGCGCGAAAGAAAAUAGGACUUAAUUGGAAGGAUUCUUGAACUGCGGUGGACCGCGGAGCAAAAUGCGGGAAAUGCAGGGGUUCUUAUGCAAAAGUGGCAUGACUGACUGGUAUUCACCCGGUUUGACUCGAUCCUGGCCAGAUCAGAGCGCUGCGCGGCGGCAGAGCAGGGGCGAACGGUGGUGCUUCGCCUGUGAGCUCGCCGGCGAUGCUCGAAAAUGAGCUUCUGGUCAUGGUUUCGCAUGAGGAUUUGUGGCGGAUCCACCUCGGAUUACCUUGAUUAAAGCAUAGUUGAGUCACUUGACACGCGACACUCAUGCCUUAGUCAAGUUAACUCGAAGUGCCGUCAGAUUUCAUCCGAUUAAACCACUUAACAGGACCGAGUUUAGCAAACUCACACGAAGGUGAGUGGUUCCAGAGAAUACAACAGGUCCACUGAGUUAAACCAAUUUGACCAUUUAGUUCAACAUCGAAACGAAAAAUCAGAGUUUUACAAGGUUCAAAAGCAGUGGAAAGAUAAAAUAGUGGAAGCUAGCGCCGGGGUCGGAUGUCCCUGAUGAGGCCGAUCAGGACAUGAGUGAUCCCUUUCCUCGCCGUCCGAGGAGGGAUCCCACUCGACCGUCCAACCCGGAGGGAGCUGGGGUGGCCAAGUGCCAACAGGAGCAAACUCAGGAGCGGCGACAUCACCUGAAAAGAGAGCCACAAACAAGGCUGAGCUUCUAAGCUCAACAAGACUUAACCGACCGGUGGUAAACUACUCCACCACUUUUAGACAUGCAAGGCUCUUUGGCUGAGGGGUUUUGUUUGCCAACAGCGACUACAGUGGGUCCUUGCUUUCAAGUUUUAGCUCAAGUUCUAAGUUCAUUAACCAGUCUAUGUUGGCGACUUAUGCUAAACAACCAUAGUUUCCAACAACAAAGCAUAGAACAAGCAUCGAGUUCAUAUCACCAUCAUGUUCCAUCUUUACUCAGUGUAGCAUAGCGAUCAAGCAGUCUCAAACUAUGAGAGGCAGACGAAUCGAUUCGAGUUUCUUAACCAUGCAUGGCGAACCUAAUCUCACGACAUCCGCGCACCGCAAGGGUCGCUUCCUGUGUCGGCCGUCCCCAUCAAUUCCCAGGCGCGUGUCAGGUCCAAACUUCCCUUGGCAUGCAAUGCUCCACAGUCCCAGUCUCUACCGUACUGUGACCGCACUUGCACCCACAUGAUGCACUAUAGGAACCCCGUUCCAGGGACAGCAGGGGUAUAAGCCACGCCCUAGUUCAAUCAGGUACUAGGCUUCCCCAUCCCAUACUAGGUAUGAGAUUAGUAUUUUCAAACACUUGAUCACGAACACCAACACUUUUCGACCUUAAGCAACUUCAUAUAGACAGACAGGGCAAUCCACCGACCACCAAAAGAGUUCACCAGGCCCUGCCCCAUCCAUCGUCCUUAUAGUUGUAACCAGAAGGAGAACAACCAACUCCUAUAACUCGCGAGUGACAGGACAUCACUCGAGUUUUACCGAGUCCUAUUAAGCAAUGCAACUACUCGGACUCAACAACUAGUGUGCAGAUCAAAGGAACUAUGUCAUGCAUCUAAGGUUUCAAACAACUCCUGUAACGUAAAUGCACAUACAAACAAAGGAAGGCAUAUGUAAGUUUAGAGGAAAUGGGUUCAUGCUCCGGGGCUUGCCUUCAAGCGGAGGAGAGGGAAACUGGUCCUCUGAGGGUUCUGCUGCAGCUCCUGCGGUCGACGGCUCAGCUACUGCUCCGUCUUCUGGCAUCGGAUGCAGUUCGUAGACGCCGUCGGCGAGAUUUAGCUCUACACGAAUGCAAAUGCAGGAGUUAGCACUUAGACGGUUAUUUCAACAGCAACACUUGUAAGUUUUAGCCUAGAAACUUGUAGCAAAAGCUACGAAAAAAGUGUGGAGGUUCAAGCGUCAGUGGAUAGAGAACAAGACCAAGGGUCGGAUUGGAAGAAACUUAUGAUCUGACCCUUAGACUAGAGGAAUAGCUAUGCUGGGGGUCCUCAGACUUAACGCAGAGAAGUCCCCAAUUUUUACACGUAUACCCUCGGGUCAAGGAAAAGGAUACAGCCGAGUCCUCGGGCGAGGCGGAAAAGGGUCGGCGAAACAGACAGGGUUGGACGAGACGGAGAAGGGGUCAGGCGAACAGACAGGGUCGGGCGAGACGGAAAAAGGGGUCGGGCGAACAUAGAGGGUCGGGCAAGACGGAAAAAGGGGUCGGACGAACAGAGAGGGUCGGGCGAGACGGAAAAGGGGUCGGGCGCGAUGGAAGAUGGUCGGGUGAGACGGAAAAAGUUUUCGGGCGAACAGACAGGGUUGGGCGAGAUGGAAAAGGGGUCGGUCGAACAUACAGGGUCGGGCGAGACGGAAAAGGGGUCGGCAGCUUACCUUCGGUUUAUAGAUGAAGCUUUGGGAUCGGGAAGGAGCAGACUUGGGUGGAAGGACUGAAGCACUAAGACUUAGGCAGCGGCGAUGUACGGCGGUGCUCCGGCGGCGGCGGUGCUUCUUGUGGACAACAAGCAAGCUCUAGCACAGCGGGGAGGAGCAAGCGGCUGGGUGGAUUGGGAAAGGCGGGUGUUGAGCGCAGAGGAGAGUUCCUCAGGAGCUUAGGUGGCAGCGCUCGAGCACGAAACAGAGAAACAAGGCGGUAAGGCAGCGAUGGCGAAGGGAACUCCGGUAGGACUCGGGCAUUCCCUUUCAUAGCUGCGCGGGGGAGAGAGGGUUGGAGCAGCACGAAGACCGGGAAGAAAAAAAAGAGAUGGAGUGCGCUGCCAUAGCGGUGAUUGAGCAGCGAUGGGCGGCGGAACAGGACUUCGGAGAUGACGCCUUGGGCCAUUGGGCACUGGAGAUAGGGCGGCGCAGGCGCGGUUUUGCCGGUGGUUGAGGUUUGGCGGAGGCGGGCGUCGUCGAGCGGUGGAUCUGAUGGGUGUGAUAGGGGAAACGGCGCUACAAACGAGGUUGCAACUGGUGAAAAGACAGGUGGGCUGCGGCUGCGUGGGCGAGCGCGAAAUAGCGGUUUGCCGGGGCACAGCUCUGGCAAGGCGGAAAAGGAGCUGUCACGGCCGGGGUCGGGGUUGGCGAUGGAGGAAUCAUCACGCAGCGCAGUCGGGGCGGCGCGACUGUGGAGAGGCGGCAGAAAAGCCGGAAGGCAUUGGGCCUGGCAGCCGGGGGUCCGGUGAGGUGAUGAUGGGCGUGAGCCGCGAGGUGGUCUGAUGCAGCAGGCGGCAAGACUCUGCCACGGCGGCGACGGAGCACCAAGGCGCGGUCGGCGAGGGUGCGAGCGAGACGGGGCGCUGCAGAAAGAGUUGCAGAGGAGCUUCCGCUGCGAUUGGGGAGGAGGGCGCGGGAAUCCAUCCGGUCGCGGCCGGUGACUGGGCGGAGCGGCGGGGGUCGGAGGAGUUGAGCCACGCGGCGGGGGAGCUCUAAAGGGGUGCAGGCCGCUCGAGUGCGUCUGCCUCAGGAGAUCUGGGAAAAGAUUUGCGGGUCCACCCGUCAGUCUCGGUGUCUCCUCUGCCCAAGAUUGAAAGGGACACUGUUGUUGAGACUUAGAAGGAACCGACGGGGUGGGUUGGGGGUCUUCAGGGGUCGGAGCUGGGAACCGGCGGAAAGGGAUCGAGUUCUCAGGGGUCGGGAUCGGAACUGGAGGUUGAGCACUUAAGCUCGGGGGAGCUGAGUCAGCGGGAUUAGGGACUCGGAUUAAGAUUAACUCGAAAGGUUUGACCAUGGUCGUCACAGGAUUCCUCCAGGGGGUAGAGGAGGGUGCGGCGAACCGGUUUAAAGUGUCGACGGUUGGCUUUUUGUGGCGGUGGUGGCGGAGCGAAGCCCGGUGGAAGACGGUGGCUCUAGCGAGCGUGGGCAUACGGAAGAAGAGCACGGGGCGCAUAGGAACUACUCCGGCAGCUUCGUCGACUCCUAGCAGCGCUCCGGGCGAUGCUGCUGGAAGAGGCGUCGGCGGAGGAGAUCAGCACGAUGGUGGCACACGGAAGCUUGCGAGCGGCGGUGCUAUUCCAGGAAAGUGGAGGCUAGGGCUUGCGAAGGGAAAAAAAGUGGCAGCAGCGGCGCCUUUUAAAGGGAGCCUCAGUGUGCGGGCCCGAGCCGGGUCAGGGUCGGACAGGGCGCGUCGCGUCGCGUGCGCAACCCGAAGUCAAGUCUGAUGCGGAGCCGGGUGCAGCGCUGUGCGGAAGAAGCGGAGGAGAAGCGGGCAGCCGGUUGGAUGGAAGGGAUGACGCAUGGGCCCUACACGUCAGCGAGUGGAGGAGGGUGUGCGGGCUGGGCCGGUUGGCGCGCUUCUGGGCUGGAAGGGAGGGGGUUUUGGGCUGGCGCAACUGGGCUAGUGCAGGGGGGUAGAGCAGGCCAAGUGAGGUAAAGGAACAGGCGGCAGUUGGGCUGAAAAGAAGGGAAGAAAAGGAAACGGCCCAGAGAGAAGAAAGGAAAAAAAAAGGAAAAGGAAACUAGAGUUGAGCAGCAAAUUCAAAUUUGAAUUCAAACACAUAUUUGAAUUCAACACUCCAAAAACAAUGCACCGGCAUGAAUGCAACAAUGAACUCCUAAGAUGAAUUAAUUUAUUUUCGAUAAAGGUUAAAUGCCUAGGAAAUUUAAAUGCAACCUUAUAGUCCAUAAACACAUGGGAUUAAAUUCUAGCAAAUUUUAUUAACUUGCAAAAUUUGAGAGAUUUUUUUUUGGGUGUUACAUGUGGAAAGUUUGCAAAGGUCCUCCUGGCCUCCGUAAAGAAAAAGGAGGGUCGAGUAAGUGGGGAAAGAGCUGGGAACGUCCUGAUUUCUUUGGAAGCACAAGCACUUAAUUUGAACUUCAAUAACAUAAAGAAAUAUUGUAUUAUACUAGCCCUUUUUUCUGGUAUUUUUCAUUUCCUUUCGUGGGCUAAAGGAAAAUGAGAAAAACGAAACAAACAUGUGAAGGAUAGUGGGCUGAAGGAAAUAGAAAGCCCAAAGGUUAUAGCCCACAAGUAAGCUCGACUGUCACAGCCGCGCAACAUCUGACGCCGCCCGCCCCUCACGCCGUCUGCUGAGCCGCCGCACCGCACCAUCAGGAAUUUUUAUUUAUAUAUAUAUAUAUAUAUAUAUAUAUAUAUAUAUAUAUAUAUAUAUUACAAAUUUGCAGAAAUAAAUAGGUGAUCCAAAAAUUUGCAGAAAUGGACCCCUGCUGCCGGAUCAAAUGGCUACCACCGUCUCAACCGGCGGUAAGAGAAGUUACUGUCGGGUGAAACAACAGUAGCUUCACGCGUGCGCCACGUUAGCUGCCAAAUCCGCUUACCGCCAUAUGAUUCGGCGUGCGGACAUGGAUUGCUGGGGCGUGUGGGACGAGGCUGUUUCCGCCGUAUGGCACGGCGAUAUCCGAUUUUCGCCGGAUCAGGGGGCGGUAACAGGCGCCACCGAUUCAAACAGUGGGAGCGGGAUUGUUACCGUCGCCUGAUUCGGCGGUAGCUAGCCCGCGCCUUUAAAAGCUGCGGAGCGGCCGGGGCGAGGUGUGCAUGUGCGCUGCUGUUUUUGGAGGAAAACUGAGAGGAAGGGAGGGAGCCGAGAGACACCGAGAGAGAAGAGGAAGAAAGGGAUGGAGGAGAAGAGAAAGAAAGGGAGGGAGGGGAGUAGGGUUGAGAUUGAAGCACGGAUCUUGACUUCGCUUGAGGUAUUAUUACAAAUCUUCCAGUUGGACACACGACCCGGGAGAAUCUGCUUAGCUCCUGUUCGGGUAAUCGCCCUGGUGCAGUUCGCGCGGCGUGUCAGCCAAUCUGACCUGUUGAUUGGCAAGGAGAAAAAUGUGUCAAAUUCUAGGGGUUGCGAUCGGCUAAGGUUCCGAUCUCAAGGAAGCGUAUCAGUGGAUCGACCGAUUUGCUAUAACAAGAUAAUCGGUUAUGGUACAGCUGACAACUAGACAGUGAUUAUGAAGAAAACUACUGGAGUAGACUAGAUAACGCUACAGGAGCAACACUUAAAAUAGAUCUAAUCGGCUAUGCAAAAAUAAUAGAUGGAAAUACCGAUAAACAAGCCGAAAGUUCUAAUCUCAAGCUGGAUAACUAGUGAUAAAACUAGAACAACAGGUAAAACCUAGAAUUCUAGUAAAUAUCGAUAACUGAUGAAUAAAUCUAAACGAAACGACAGCGAUGCGCCCGAAGUUAAAGCUUAGAUAUUACUCAAUAAACGGAACUUACAGAAUCGGCCCGAGGUCGUGUCGAUGCAGCCCUGCCAACCCGUACGAACUCGUGAAAGAGGAAAAGUAUUGGCGAAGUCGCCGACUUGAAAGUAAAGUAAGAGGAAAUAGUAGAUUGUUGUAUUGAUUUGAUGUGUGUUUUACAGAUCUCUAAAGAUGGGUAUUUAUAGCCUAUUACAACCAAUUUCUUAACCGACUAGGAUUCUAUCUCUAAUUUUAAAUAAAAACAAAUAUUUACAAGUACAACUCGUAUCGGAGUUGGUUGUUGCACUUCUGCGGGCCAAUUCCCCUCCAUCUUCUCUUUGCGACUCACUUUAAGCCCAUAUUGGCCCAACUGCUCCAGCCUCUUAAUCGGCUGAUCUCUACCAAUUUCGUCCGUCAAAAUACUGCAGUGCCAAUCGGCCGAUCUCCAACUGUAGCACCAAUCGGUCGAUUCCCCAUCGUGACCUUUCAACUUAUCGUAUCAGCCAAUCCUUCCCCCUUUUUGGCACCAAUUUCAUACGUGUCAAAAUCUGGUGUCAACAACCGCUGAUAUUGUUUGUUGAAGUGUUCUAGAAGAUUGGGUCUAGCAGUUAGUUGCAAGAAGAAGUGGGAGGUGGGGAAGUUAGAGGCGAGGAAGGUGUGGAGAUUACUGAUGGGCAAACUAAAUAAGGUAAUGAAGAUGGGGUAGAAGAAGGAGAUGCAGCAGAUGAAGAGACACCCCGUGAGCCAAAUGGUGAGGCUGAUGACGGGGAAGACAUCCCUGAGUUAGUUGAGCAAGUAGUGAGGGAAGGAGAAGAGGACCUUCGUGCCAUGGAUGAUGACUCAUCGAAUAAGGAUGAUGGUAAUCCUAUCCUGCGGAACUGGUCAACUUAUGACCAUUCCAACCUACAGGUCAAUGAAGGGGAAAAUGUCCCUUGGGAGUACAGGGAGAAUGAGGUUUGUGUGGGUGCUUUGUACCCUAGUGGGGAUAAGGUGAAGGUAGCUGUGACGCGAUGGUCCACUUUAUCUUUGCAACAGUAGUUCAGGAUGGUGAAGAGCAACCCGAUAGUGUAUGAUGUGUGUUGUGUGAGAUGCAAUUACCCGUUUAGGGUUCACGCAUACAAGGGGAAGUGGAAGGAUUACUAGGAGGUGACUAGAGUGGUGGAGCACCAAUGCUUGUUGGAUGAACUGGAAGGACAACACCGCAACCUCACUGCUGAUUUUGUUGCUCAAUACAUGUAUCCUCAAAUAGUGGAGAAUCCUAGGUACGAGCCCAGAUCAAUUGUUUGUGCCAUAGAGGAGAAGUUCAAGUACAAGAUUAGUUACCACAAAGCUUACCGAGCCAAGCAAAAGGUGUUAGAGAUGAAGUGGGGCAUAUACAAAGCAUCGUAUGAUAACCUCCCUGCCCUAUUGCACACCAUAUGCCAGAGGAAUCCUAAAGGCACAAUCUUGAUAGCUAUUGGGUCCGACGGUAACAACCAGGUGUUGCCACUGGCGAUCGCCUUUGUGGAGAAAGAGUCUGGAGAUAGUUGAUAUUGGUUCCUGGAGAGGGUUAAGCAGAUGAUUGUGAAGGACGUGGAGAGUGUUUGUCUAAUUCAUGAUCAGCACAAAGGCAUUCUACAAGCAAUCGAAGACCAACAGAAUGGUAGUGUGUAGCGUUGCAGGAUGGCGUAGUGGCCGGACUUGAAGAGUAGGUGGUGCAUGAGGUAUAUGGGGGCAAACUUCCAAAGUCAAUUAAAAAACAAGACCCUUAUGAAAAUAUUUAAAUGGCUAUGUAGCAAGAAUCAGGAGAGAAAAUUCCAUCUACUGUGGAUGAAACUUGAUGAGCUUACAAAGAAACAAUCUGAAGACUUGGCAAGAGGCUGGUAAACAGCGAGGCCGACCACUCUGUGUCUCUUGAGGACAUCGGACUAGAUGGUCCAAAUAUCAGGCGAAGACGGGGUAGGUUCAUUAAGACAUUCUCAUAGUGGAUUGAGCAUGAGCUGAAGGAAAAGUGGGUAUUACUCUAUGACGAGGGAGGUGCUAGGUGGGUUACAAUGACUACAAACCUAGCUGAGGUGUACAAAUGGAUCUUGCGUGAUGUUAGGGGAUUGCCCCUAAUUGGUAUCGUGUGUUGGUGUUUUAUACCGGCAACCUACCGAGGGGGUACCCGAUGUGGUAGAUUGGUUGGUAAGGAAUCGCCGGACUUAGAAUUUGAAGGUAAAAGCGAGGACACAAGACACGAAUUUAUACAGGUUCGGGCUGCCUGAGUAGUGUAAUACCUUACGUCCUGUUUGGAGUGUUGUAUAUUGUGCCCUGCUGUGGCGGAUCCACUUUGGAUUUGCUUGAUUAGUCAUGAUUAAGCCACCUAAUAUGCGACUCUCAUGCCUUAACCAAGUAAACACGAAGUGCCGUUGGAUUUCAUCCGAUUUAACCACUUGAACAGGACUGAAUAGCAAACUCGCACGAAGGUGAGCGGUUCCAGAGAAAACAACAAGUCCACCGAGUUAACAAAUUAACCAUUUAUUUUGGCCAUAAAACAACAUCAGAGUUUACAAGGUUCAGAAGAAAAACAGCAGAAGGUAAAACAACUAGCGGAAGCUAACUCAUCGGGGUCGGACAUCCCUGGUGUGGCCAACCGGGACAUCAGUGAUCCCUCUCCUCGCCGUCCGAGGAGGGAUCCCACUCAACCGUCCAAUCCGGAGGGAGUUGGGGUGGCCAAGUGCCAGCAGAGGAAGGCUCAGGGGCAGCAACUUCACCUGAAAAAGAAGAGCCACAACAAGGUUGAGCUACUAAGCUCAACAAGACUUAACCGACAGGGAGUACGCUACUCCACCACUUCUAGACAUGCAAGACUUUUUGGCUGAGGGGUUUGUUUGCCAAAAGCGCUAGGCGUAUCUCUACUUUCAAGUUUUAGCUCAGGUUCUAAGUUCAUUAUCCGGUCUAAGUUUGCAACCUACUCUAAACAGACAUAGAACCAACCAAGGGUAUAUACAUCAUCAUCAAGACCAUGUCAUCAUCAGAUUCCUUUAUUACUCAGGGUGACAUAGUGAUCAAGCAGUCUCAAACUGUGAGAGGCAGACGAAUCGAUUCGAGUUUCUUAACCAUGCAUGGCGAACCUAAUCUCACGACAUCCGCGCACCGCAAGGGUCGCUUCCUGUGUCGGCCGUCCCCAUCAAUUCCCAGGCGCGUGUCAGGUCCAAACUUCCCUUGGCAUGCAAUGCUCCACAGUACCGGUCUCUACCGUACUGUGACCGUACUUGCACCCACAUGAUGCACCAUGGGAACCUCGUUCCAGGGACAGCAGGGGUAUAAGCCACGCCCUAGUUCAAUCAGGUACUAGGCUUCCCCAUCCCAUACUAGGUAUGAGAUUAGUACUUUCAAACACUUGAUCAUGAACACAACCACUGUCGGGCCUUAGCAAGUUUCAUAGACAGACGGGGUGAUCAACCAACCACCAAAAAGUUACCCAACACCUUGCCCCGUCCAUCGUCCUUAUAGUUGCAACAGAAGAGGAAACAACCAAAUCCUACAACUCGCGAGUGACAGGGAAUCACUCGGCUUUUACCGUUUCCUAGUUAAGCAAGGCAUCUACUCGGUCCAACAGCUAGUAUUCAGAUCAAGGGAGCUAAGUUAUGCAUCUAUGGUUCCAAACAACUCCUAUACGUAAAUGCACAAGCAUGUUAAAGAAGGCAUGCGCAAGUUUGGUAAAACAUAGGGGAUUCAUGCAUCCGGGGCUUGCCUUCGAACAAGGAGGAGGGAAGCUGCUCUUCUGCUUGGGCGGCUUCAGCUUCUGGAGGCAGGAGCUCGGCUACACCUUCGUCUUCUGGCGCCGGGUGCAGCUCGUAGAAGCCGUCGGCGAGACGCAGCUCUACAUGAAUGCAAUGCAUUGGUUAGCAUUUAGACGGUUAUUUCAACAGCAACACUUGCAAGUUUGAGCCCAGAAACUUGCGGCAAGUUACAGGAGGGUGGGGAGGUUCGCUUGAGUUGGUGGGGAUCAAGAUAUAAGGGUCGGAUAGGAAGGAACUUAUGAUCUGACCCUUAAUCUAGAGGAAUACAUGUGCUAGGGGUCCUCAGACUUAACGCUGAAAAGUCCCCAAGUUUUACACAUACACCCUCGGUUCAAGGAAAAAGAUUCAGCUGAGCCCUCGGGCGAGGCGGAGAAAGGUCAGCGAAACAGACAAGGUCGGGCGAGACGGAACCGGGGUCGGGCGGAUAGGAGGGGUCGGACGAGGCGAACAAAGGGUCGGUAGCUUACCUUCGUCUUACAGAUGAGGCAUGGGGUCGGGAAAGAACAGGCUUGGGCGGAAAGACUAAGGCUUGGGACAGCGGCGAGGAUGUCCGAUGGUACUCCGGCGGCGGUGACGCUUCUUGUGGAUCACAAGUAAGCUCUUGUGCAGCACGGGGAGCAGUGGCUGGUGGAUUGGGGAAGGUGGUGUUUGAGCGGAGAGGAGAGUUCCUCAGACUUAGGCGGUGGCGCUGUGAGCACAAACAGGGAGCAAACGGGAGGGCAGCGAUGGCAAAGGGGGACUCCGGCGGGGCUCCGGCAUUCCCUUUUUAUAGCUGCGCGGAAGAGAGAAGGGGGAGCGGUGCGAAGGUCGGGGAAGAAGCGAUGGAGUGCUCUGCCGGGGCGGCGAUUGAGCGACGAGGGUGGUGGAGCAGGACUUCGGGGAGGACACCGGCGGUCAUUGGGCACCGAUGACAGGGUGGCGCAGGCGCGGGUUUGCCGGUGGUUGAGAUUUGGCGGAGGCGGGCGUCGUCGUGCGGUGGAUCUGAUGGAAGUGACCGCGGAAACGGCGCUAGAAACGAGGGCGCACAGGUGAGAAGACAGGCGGCUGCGGUCGCGCGGGCAAGCGCGGAGCAACAGAUUGUCGGGGCGGAGCUCUGACAGGGCGGGAAAAGGAGCUGUCGCUGCCGUGGUCUGGGUUGGCGGAGGAGGAAUCGUCGCGUAGCGAGGACUGGGGCGGCACGACUGUGGAGGGGCGACGGAAAAGACGGGCGGCAUCGGGCUCUGCAGCCGGGAUCUGGCAAUGUGAUGAUGGGCGCGGGUGGCGAGGUGCUGCAGAAAGAGUAGCAGAGGAGCUUCCGCUGCGAUUGGGGAAGAGGGCGCGAGAAUCCAUCCGGUCGUGGCCGGCGACGAGGCGGAGCGGCGGGCGUCGGAGGAGUUGAGCCACGCGGCUAGGGAACUCUGAAGCGGGCAUGCAACUCGAGUGCACCUGUCGCGGGAGAUCUGGGAAAAAGAUCUCAUGGGUCCACCGGUCAGUCUCGGUGGUCCACGACUCAGAUUGAAGGGAGGCGUUGCGGGAGGACUUAGAAAGAUCCGGCGGUGGGUUGGGGUCGGCGGGGUCGGAACUGGGGGAAACGGCAAGGGGUCGGAUUACAGGGGGUCGGGACCGAGCUGGAGGUUGAGCACUUAGACUUGGUAAACUGAGACAGGGGAUUAGGGACUCGUAUUAAGAUUAACGCGAAGGAUUUUUAUCCGAGGCCGUUACACCUGCGCUUGGGUGUUGAGGUAUGAGGAUGUGGUCCUCUGUUGUCUCUGCUGAUUUAGGUAUCCCUGCCCUCCUUUAUAUACUCCAGGCGGCAGGAUAACUAGUCGGUUACAAAGAGAAGUCCUAGUAGGAUUACGUGGUAUGAAUCCUAGUAGGAUUGCAUAGAAAUCCUAGUAGGAGUCCAUCUUUUUUUUUCCUAGCAGGUAUUGGGGAUCCAUCUCCGACACCGUGGAAUUCUUCUUAUACCACACCAUGAAGUACUUAAGGGAAUGGUACACGGUGGCCAAUAACCCAAUGGCCGAUAAUCACAACAUUUAUGGAUACAAGAUGACAGAGUACAUGGCGUACCAGAUGUCAGUGUUUUAUACCCGGCAACCUAUCGAGGGGUAUCCUAAGGUAGUAGAUUUGUUGGCGGGGGAUCGUCGGACCUAGAACUUGAAGGUAAAAGCGAGGACACGCGAUUUAGACAGGUUUGGGCCGCCAGAGUAGCGUAAUACCCUACGUCCUAUUUGGGGUGUUAUAUAUUGAGCAACGUUCAAACACACUACUAACACUUUGCAACUCGAAUCCAACGCUUGUAGUGGGAUUGUGUCUCCCUUUAAGAAAUAUCGUCGUGGAGGGAUGAACAAAAUGGGAUUCCACCUUGGAAUGAGCGUCCCAAAUGCCAUUGCGGCUUCCGUGCGUGGUUGCAAGUAUGGGAGGAUCGAGUACCUAGGGGGAAGAAGGGGUGUAGGUACUUUAAGUGUCCCGACAUUAACAAUGAUUUCAAGAUCAGUCCGUUCAUAAAUAUUUUAAAUAUUUUUUCUACGUAUCGGUACCUUGAACUAAUCUGGAAUGAACAUGCAGGUAUGCACAUUUAUGGAAUGGAUCGACACCAGGUCUUUAGGGGAGGUGCCCAUAAUCCCAGUGGUGCUAGAGACCAAAGCCUAAUACUAUGGUAGGCUUGAAGCGGCUCGAGACGCGGCACGUGCUGCUCGGCUCGAGCAAGAGCAACACAUCCGCCAACAACAGAUCCGUUUGAAGGGCAAGAAGGAUGAACUACAGAGGUGGCGCGACCAGUUAGGUGCUCGAGAGCCAGCACUUGAACGGCAGGAGGAAGAAUUCGAAGCUCGUCAGGCGUAACUCCUCCAGGAAGAAGAGCGACAUAAGAAGAUAAAGAAGCAGGAAAUAGAAUGUUCCUCCAAAACAACAAGGAAGGGGAAACUUCCCCGUUUCACCCAGUAGAACAUUAGUUGUGCUCCACCAAUUUACAUUACCUAAUCGGAUGUGAACUAGCUUGCUCUGCUUGCGGAGAAAAACCAACCAAGAGGCGAUGGAACCCUCAGAAAACUUCUAAUAUUGCCCCGGGCAGUACUGGCCAUAGACUUGAAAUUUAAGUAGAAGUGAUUUCUUCCUCAUUAGCUCCAUUUUUCUUAUCAUUUGCAUCUUGUGAUGAAUGAAGUGAACUUGAGCUCACCACCUUUUUUCAAAGCAAAGGCGCGCUGCGUUUAAUUAAAUAAUGGGCAAAUCGGGAGUUUGCAAGCUACGAACUUACUUGUGGUAGUGUAGAAGAAGGUCCGGAAUCAUUCGAGGCUCCUGGAAGUUACCAGCGAGUGCCGGAUGAAUUGAAGGCUCGACGACUCCCUCGAAUCCAGCAGGGUUAAGGGAGGCUACCCGAAGCUGCUGGAAGGCGAGAAUCGUUUAAUAAACAAUACGAUACGAUACGAUCUCAUUAGCAGGGUUAAGGCUAGAAUUUUUAUUUACCUUAUCGCUAGUGCAACCCAAAAUACAAUACGAUCUCAUGUACUCUUAGAAAAAUUAUAUGGUUGCAAAUAGACAACAGCUAGACUAGUGGUAGUAGUAGCAAAAGUAAUGGGUUGCUUUGAAUGAAGAAAAUAAUAUGAAGCUAGGCCUCGGGAGAUGGGAGUUAUUAAGAAGAGAACGGAUGACACAAUCACCACCACUGGCUUUACCCAAAUCCCCCCCUUUGCCCUCGAGAACCACUACAAGAAUACCGCAUCUUAUGAAAAAAAAAGAAGAUAAUUACCCACACCCCAAUCAUGAUUGAAUCGUUUCAUCAUAUCAUGUCUUGAAUGCUACGCUGGGAUCAGCAGCUUCCAGUGAAGACAAAAUGAGUCGGGCAGGAAGAGGAAGAUCGUGCGGGGAAAACGGGGUUCGAACCCGCGACUGGCAUUUUAUCCUAGAGAAGGUGCUCUUUAAGUUUGUCAUGUUGGAUGCCUCAGAUGCUAUUAUACUGUUGUUUGUACUGUGAUAACAUUUUAUCUCCAUGCUUCGAGUAUUCAUAUUCCACACUAUUCCUAUUAUACUGCUCUGCUGCCAGUAUAGUACUCAAAUAGUGCUAAACCACUAUUGACGCGAACCGUCACUGAAAAACCUCCACUAUAGACUGCAAGGACCCUAAACAUGAGCCUUCUCAGGCAGAUGGGACUCGACACUGAGCCAUACGUCCCUGCACCUACGAAACCUAUAUUUAGCAUUUUUCAGGAUGAUUGAACACGGCGGGAUACUGAGCACAUGGAGGCACAGUGCAUCUCCAUCUCAACACUCCUUAUAUUGGACCUCCCUCUCUCGUAUCCUUUCACACCACUGAGCAGGAGGAAGGACAAUGGCAUCCGCAAGAGGGAGAGGCCGUGGGAGGAGGGGAAGAGGAGGGGAUGCUCCUAUUCCCACUGUCACUUGGCCAGAUUCUUUUGGCCCAAAGGAGUAUGAGGCACCCCUCGAUGACUUCCCUCUGUAUGAUAGGACUAACUACGUCCCUCCAAACUCCCUUGGGCCUUAUGAUGACCGCCAUGAUGCGUGGCCAAUGUGUCACCAUGGCGUGGCUUGUGUCGUCCAGCUAUUUGAUGGCUACGGUGAUAGGAGCCGACAUUUCUUUCGAUGCUCGUGUAGCUUGGUGAGUCAAGUUAUUGCUUACUUACUUUUCCUAAACUUUUUGUGAUACAAACUAACAUCAUAUUCAAUCUUAUCUUGAUGAAGGAAACUGCCGCUAUGUGAAGUGGGUCGAUCCUCCACUUGCUGAGCCAACCCAAGAGUACAUCUACUAUCUCAAGUGCAAGAUCUUUGACCUUGAGCGUAAGAUGGAGGAUUUUUAAUCGGAAGUUGAUGCAAAUCCUUAGGCGGUUAACAUCAUAGGUGACUUGAUUUGACCGAUCAAUGGUACAAGUGCCCCUACCACCAUAAUAAGGAUUGCCCCCCCAUCUCCGCCAUCCUUUAGGGGUGUUGGCUACUAUGAGGCUGGGCCCUCCCAGCUCUCGCAAAGCUAGUUCUACUGGAAAGUAUAGAUGGCUCUAUCCCUGGCUAUUUCAAUUACCUAAGGCAUGCUAGUUUUAGCAACGACACAUGUUUAGGAUAGCAUCCGUGCCGCACAUGCCACUGCAAUCUAUAAUUAAUUAUUCACUCUAGAGUCAUUGGUGUUUGUAUUUUGUGCACGAAUUUCGUUUCUAUCUGUUGUAAUUUCGCUGGAAACGGCUAUGUAUCUAAUGAUCGGGAGUUAAUUCAUUUUCAAUUAUUUUCUCGAAGUGUUCUACCUCUCUCAAAUUAGGAAGUUUCAUAUUGCAACUACUAAUGACAUAUCCGAAUAUUUAGUGUCUCCAAUGUAACUUGAUAUUUUUUUUAACUCAAAGAAAAAAUUAUAUAAAAAUAAAAUAAACAAACCAAGUUAUAGCCGGUUCAAACAACUAUGGCUAUAGCUGACUCCACACAACGCAAUAGGCGAUUGGAGCGGAGUGGCGGUAGCUAGGCACUCCGCUCCAACCGCCGUUUCAAUACGCUACUGCCGUUUGAUCCGGCGGCAGGAUACAUUUCUGCAAAUUUUUAGAUUGCCUAUUUAUUUCUAAAAAAAAAAUAUAAAAAUGAAAAAAUUCGCACCAUCAGAGCGGGCGGCGAGGAAAACACCACCAGUCCACCACCAUGCAGGCCCGCCUCUCGCCGUCUGGGCCAUGUUGCACCGGCAUUCCGUCACGUGCGUCGCGCGGCCGACCUCACCCAGGCCAGGCGCCCCGCGACACGCGCGGAGACCCCCACCUACCAACCCAGCCGCGCCGCUCGCCUCUCGCGCCCGGCCGUCCACGCUCACCGGCCGCGCGCGUCGCGGCGAGCCACCACCCACCCGCGACGCGAACCACCUCCAGCUCGGCCCGGCCGGGGCAGCCGCACGAAAGGAAAACCGCCCCGCGUCCCCGCCCUAUUUCGCCAUGCCGCUCCCCGCCACCGACCCACCUAUCCCCCCUCUCUUCUCUGCCCGGGGCCCCGCCGCGGCUCGGCCCGACGCCACCGCCACCACAACCCCUCGCUGCACGGGCGCACCUUCACCACGUCCGCGGCGCGGGGCGACCCACCCACCCACCACGUAGCGGCAAAGGCGAGCGCGGCCGGCGACGCGGAGUAGGAAGAGGAGGGGUGAGCGGGCGGGCGGGCGGCCUCGCCGCGGCGUGAACCCGGCCGGCUAUGCUGCAGCGCGCGGCGAGCAACGCCUACUCCUGGUGGUGGGCGUCGCACAUCCGCACCACCCAGUCCAAGUGGCUCGAAACCACCGUCGGCGGUAAGCAGCCUGCAGCCCCGUUUGUUCACCUGGCAUCCUCCCGUCGCAGGACGAUUGACGAGUUCAUAUCGCACAUUAUUCAAUGGGUUUUCCUUUAUCUUUUUGCUGAGCAGAGAUGGAGGACAGGGUACAGGCCAUGCUCAAGCUCAUUGGGGCCGACGCCGAUUCGUUCGGCAAGAAGGCGGAGCUCUACUUCAGGAGCCGGCCGGAGCUCAUCAAUCACGUGGAGGAGAUGUUCAGAUCAUACCAGGCCCUCGCCGACAGGUUUGACCGGAUAUCCAGUGAGCUGCACAAGGCCAACCACACCAUCGCCACCGUGUUCCCGGACCAGGUGCAGUUCUCAAUGCAAGAGGGGGACGGUGAGGGGUUCCCGAAGGCAAUCGGCGGGAUUGAUCUCAGCAACUUCAAAUUCCCUGCGCUGGAAGGCUUGUCCAUGGGCUCGCAGAGCGCGAGCAGGGGCACCAGUCCAGUCCCCAAGAGGGGGACCCAAUCACAUCGGAGGGCCAUCUCCAAUAUGACCAAGGAGAAGGCGCAGGAGGAGAUAGACAAGCUGCAGAAACAAAUCCUGGCGCUACAGACUGAGAAAGAGUUCUUGAAGACCUCUUACGACAGCGCGUUAGGCAAGUAUCUGGAGAUUGAGAAACAGGUGUCUGAGUUGCAGGAGGAAGUCUGCAGUUUGCAAGAUGCUUUUAGCACUGGUGCGGCCAUUGAAGACAACGAAGCUCGGGCGUUAAUGGCUGCACAAGCCAUUGUGUCGUGUGAGGAUACGUUGGUGAACUUGCAGGACCAACAAAAGAGAUCAACUGACGAGGCAAAGGUGGAGUUUCGACGAGCCAAUGAAGCAAUUGAAAAGCUGAAAACCUUCAAGAAUGAAUGUGGGCUUCCUCAUGCUCAAAUGGAUGGGCAUGAUCACCAUGACACAGAACUGAGCCAUGCACUGCUGUCCGAGAAUGCUGAUGAUUCAGCUGUGAAUGAGAGCAAGCUUGACCUCCAGGAAAUAUGUCAAAAUGUCAAAGAAAUAAUUGAACGUUACCCGGAGUUAUCAGUUGCAGAAUUAGCGGAUAAGGUUGAUCGACUUGUGGAGAAGGUGAUCAACCUUGAACUUGCUACUACUUCACAGAAUGCUCAGAUUGAUAGAAUGAGGACAGAGAUAGAUGGCCUUCAAGAGCGUCUGCAUGCUUUGGAGCAAGAGAAGGCAGCUUUGGUUGUUGAUUCCAGUAACUUGGCUGACAGGUUGAAGAAAGUUGAAGAAAUGCUGCAAGAAGUACAACAAAUUUGGAAGUCUGUACAAAAUGGGACAGAGAACAUUUGUAAACAAAUGACUGAAGCCUCCCAUGAACUUACUGAAUUUGUUGAAACAUUACAUGCUCCUGAGCCAGAAAUCAGUGAUUUCGUGGAUUCAAUGCGAGACUCCAAAGACAUAGCUUCUCUGGAAGACGAUUCAGGACUAGCAAGUCUGUCCAUCAAAAAGGGCCAAUCUAGUGCUUUACAUGGCAGUAGUGAAAUUGAGAAGUGUGACGAAAUCUCAGACGGUACUGUAGCCCAGAAACAGCUGGUUCCAAAAGAACCUGAAGGCGAGGAGAAGAUUCUAUUAGAAGAUUAUGCAUCUGUAUUUCAGAGCUACAAAGAUACAGAGCAAAAGCUUUCAGAAAUGGAGAGGAGAAAUCAAGAGUAUCAUAUUGAAGCAAUCUCAGAACUGAAGGAACUUAAGAGUGCCAAUGCAACAAAAGAUGAGGAGAUCCACUCUCUUAGGCGCAUGCUAAGUUCUUUGCAGAAAAAGAUGACUGCUUCUAUUACCGAGAGCAUAGAGAAAUCAGAAGAAACAUCCAAGAUAAGCACCAGUCCUGCCACAGAAGACAAAGAGGUUGCUGAGAUAGAGGAAUACAUUAAGCAAUGCCAAGUUGAUGACUCACUAGCUUGUUCGGUUGCUGAGGAGAAAUUUAGAACAGAGAUUGACAGGGUAUUGGGGGAGAAUUUGGACUUCUGGUUGAGGUUUAGCACAUCAUAUCAUCAAAUACAGAAUUUCCAAACAUCCUUUGACAAGCUGAAAACUGAGAUGCGCAAAUUGACUGAUGAACAGGAACAAGGGGGCACUUACGGGUUUGCUGCUAGUUAUCAGGUAGCAAAGCUGGAGUCAGCAGUACUAGAAAAGAAAUUUAGGGAUCUGAAUACAGAUCUUCAAGUUUGGAUGGAAAAGAACGUGCUAUUAAAAGGAGAGUUAGAGAACAGAUUCUCAUCACUGUGCAGCAUACAAGAAGAUAUAUCUAAGAUCACAACUCUGGAUAAAAGUGAUGAAGUUCACUUCAACCCUUUCCAAGCUGCAAAAUUCCAAGGAGAGGUGCUUAAUAUGAAACAAGAAAAUAACAAAGUUGCUAAGGAACUAGAAGCUGGGCUGGACCAUGUAAGAGGUUUUCAAGUGGAGGUUGGAAGGGUGCUCUUGAAGCUCAGAGAGAACCUUGAGUUAUCAAUAGCAAGAAGCCACCGAGCCCAACAAAACUUCCGGAACCUGUCAACAAAAGCCGGGGUGCCCCUUAGAACUUUUCUGUUUGGCUCAAAGCCAAAGAGACCAUCACUCUUUUCGUGCAUGGGUCCUGGUGUGCAUAAGCAACAUGGUGGCUCAAAGGCUGGGCGUAGAUGAGUAUCGGCAAUUUAUUUUUUGACAUUUACGCUAAAGAGAUCUCAAUGUACAUGACAAUUAAUAUGUUGUAAAUGUGGUUUCUCUUAGGCCUUAAAUGUAAAAGACCCUCAUCUCUUAAAUCAAAUUUGGUUUGUAAGUGUCUACCCAUUCCUGAUUUGAUAGGUUAACUGUAUGAUUUUAAUUUCAGAACUAAAUUGGAUCGAAAUAUAAUUUGAAAUUGUUUAAAGUGCUCAAGGUACUGGAAGAAAUUCUGCUGGUUGCCCUGUUUCUCAAUAUUCAGCUGGCAAAAGUACCAAACUGAUGUCGAUACUCUGAUGAGUACUCAAUUACAAAACUGGUGGUGCAACUGUUUCUAGUUGACCGACUAGGAUAAAGUCAACUCUUGGCGUUUUGUACUUUUGGGAUGUUUAAUAAUAUGGUGGGAGAGAACAUAACUUGCAAACUUAAUCUUUUAGUAGUAAUGUAGUGAAGGAACAAUUGAUUAAAUCAAACUUUGUUUUGCUUCUUCUGGGGCAAAACCUGAACUUUUCUAAAAUUAGAACUGCUGGUAUGCGCAAUAAUUUGACUGCCAGUGUUUUCAUGGAAGGAGUCUGCCAAUAUCUUACAUCAGAUGGACUUGAUCAGGUAUGUUUCAUAUCAAUACUUUAGAAAGAAACAACAUAUAAUGCUAUCUCUGCUCUUUCUUAAAAAAAUUAUGAUGAUUUUAGUACCCUCUAGGAGACGACGUAUGAGCUAUCAGUUAUCAGAUAUGUCCACUCCUGUUCUAUCCACAGAAUACUUACUGUUAUCAGUUCCGUGCAUAGUUUGUUUUAUGAGGAACGGUUUUUUUCAUUCCUGAUCUGCUCAUCAGCUUUCUCAAAUGCUCUUCUAUUUCCUGAAGUGGUUGGUUCCUAUUUCUUACUUUUAAAACUCAAACUCAAAUUAAAGAUAGCUUGACAAUUUUUUUUACGUACGUGGUACAUGUCUUCUAUAUGGAGCUAUUAGCUCUCCACAAAUUUCAGAAACACUUGUCAUGGCUGAUGAUUUCAAUUUUUUUGCUACAGAACUGGAACCUUAUCGUACACAAUUGAAGAUGAUGCCUACCAGGCAACCUCCAGAGCUCUACAAGUCGAGAGUGGAGGGCUUGAGUAUCCUCCUGACUAGCAGAGUAUCAACAUCCAACCUCUGUUUAUAUUCAACACCUCUCUCUUUUUCUUCUCCAUGCUAGUUACUGGUCCUGUUGUCUUUGGUGAAGCCCCAUGGCGGGGGCUACCUGAAAAUCGCAGCCUCGUAGAUGAGCACACGCAUGUGCUUGAACUUCUGAGUUUACCUUUAGUGUACAAAUUUGGCAAUGUAUGAUCAGAUCAUGGCAUAACAGCUCUUCCAGCCUGUCAUGUCCAUUUUUGUGCCCAUCACUUUAUCAAAUCCCUUCCUGUUCCUUUAUUUGUUCUGUGUUUCAAGAGCGACAUCAUUUAUAUGCAACUUUCUCUUAUCAAUCCAAUCGAGACAGUUAUUUUGUCAUGUUUUCUGAUUUCUUGCUAGCCAAUUUUUUUUUCUCAAAUACGCAAGAGAGCUGCGUAUCAUUUCAUUAUAGAACUAUAGAAGAAGAAAAAAAGGGCACAUAAAAGAUAAUUACCCAGUUACAAACAUCACGUGCUCACAUGACACACCUGAUAUUUGCUAGCCAAAUGUUGCAAGUGGAUCACGACAAUGUAGAUGUGAAUUACACAUUUGUUUUACUACUGACUAUUCUUGUUCUUGGUAAGUGGCUUCAUUGACAAAUCCAAAAUCAAAUUCCAUACUGCAGUCGGAAAGAUAGGUCGCAUGUGCAGCAAAGUCCCAAAAGCUAGUCACUUAGGUUUAGUGUGUACUUUUCUUUUUCAAAAGGAGAAAAACUGUUUUAAGAAGUGCCACAUCAUUCUCUUAGUGUAUUUCUUUGAAAAAAAGAAAAGGAGCUUCUUAUUCAUCUUUUACGGAGAAUUCAUCUUAUUGUUUUUUAUUAUAAAACGUUCAUAUAUGAGCUGGGUAAGGAUUGUUUGGUGUCUCCUGUAUCCACACUCUCAAAAGGUUCAUACAUGUAUAAAGAUGUUCAGUAAGAUGUGUUUUUAUACCUUCAUUUCUUAUGCAGAAAUGUCACUGGAAUCAACUCCUUUGUGUUUAUUAAUGCAUAUAUGGCUGGAGCAUAUUCCUAGCUGCAAGUGACACCUGUUCAUUCUUGGAAGGUAUUCAAUUCAGCAUAAACUUUUAGUCUUUCAUCAAAGGCAGAUAUAUUUUGGACUUCUUUUGCUUCCUGGAAAGGAAUCUCAUUUUCUAUGCCUUGCUAGAUAGAGGGACAACUUUUUUUAUCAGCUAUUUGCCUUGCUAGAAAUCUCUCUAUAUAUGAAUAUUUUCAUAAGACAAUCUGGUUGUCAAAUAGGCCUGGGAACGUUUACAUCGAGUAAAUGAGACAUUUAAAUUAUUCAGUAGGCAUCAGAUCGAUGAUAUCUUUGACAUGUUGGUUGUCAGUUGUUGUUAGCACGCUGAGCUGGUAUAUUAGUAAUUUUCUGUCCUGUUAAUGGAGUGGCCCUACAAACCUUUGGUUUAUAUUGGGCUAUGCACCAAAUCUUCGCUUUUUAUACCAACCCUCCUUCACUUACACUGACUCCCCAAACACAUCAAAGGGAUUCACACCCAAAAGCCAUGUUCCACCCUUCAUCUUCGUCGGCACCCAACUACAGUGACCUCUCCAUGCAGCAUGCAGUGAGCUUCUCUUCUGCUGUGUCCACAGCUCCAACCGAAAUUCCUCGCGGGGGUUUCUUCCACGACAACGGCGGCCUGUUAGCACUCCCCAAUGUUGCUGCAUCGGCGCCGCCUCCCUACCCCUCUUCCCUACCUUCCUACUACAUACACAGGAACACCAGCUCACAUUUCCUCCCUCUUCACCUCCAGUUGUCUGAACAACUCAGCAGCAAUGCCACCUUCUCUUGCUCGUCUCCUUCGGCAUGCCAGUUGCCUGCUGCACAUGUUCCUUGUUCUCCUUCCUCAUCCUCCGGCGACUUCUUGGAAUUCAGCACUGGAGCCCUGCGGCGUGUCUUCAGCACUGGUGACCUCCAGGUAACGCAACAUGCCUCAAGCUGAACUUGUAGCUGAUCAUAAACAAGUCCUAUUCACUUCUCACCCGUGUGGCCGUGUUCAUACAAAACAGGUGAUGAAUGUCUCGCCAUCUCCGCCGCCACCACCACUUUCAGGUGACACACACGGCCAGGAUGCAGGGGGCCCUUUCACUCAGAAGGUCGGGCGAUAUAGCGCUGAAGAACGCAAGGAGAAGAUUGAGCGCUAUCGUACCAAGCGUAACCAGAGGAACUUCCACAAAAAGAUCACUGUAAUGAUUUCCCACACCACAUAAUUAACCUGCAAAUGCAUUCCAUGCUCAAUACAUACAUGUCCUCUAAUGCAUCUGUUGCUCACCAUCUCUGGACCGCUCCAGUACGCCUGCAGGAAGACGCUGGCGGAUAGCAGGCCCAGGGUGCAGGGCCGCUUCGCGAGGAACGCCGAGACGGAGGCUGAGGCUGAGGCUGUUUCAGGCCUCGAGAGGGAGGCCUCCGACAACAGCUACGAGCACUGCAACUACAGCGAACUCACCACCAACAGCAGCAGCUGCUUCGACAGCAUGUGCAGGGAAAGUGGCAAGACCACAACGUCGGACGACGGCAAGUGGUGGUGGGAACCGCCGGUAGCCAAUGGGCACUAUGGGCACCAUCACUACCAGCAGCAGCAGCUUCUUGAUUUCGACGACACCGAGCUAAACGAAGAGGAUCUGUGGGCCAGUCUAGCUGACAUGUACUCCGGGAUCUGACCUGGGCCAUGCAGCGGGUGUCCUGAAUCCUGAUUGGCGCUGUCUGGUGCGAGGAAGGCAGGGAGCACCAAGAGGCGGCUGCCGUUGCCGAGCUGAGGCAGUGCGGGGGUCAGAGUAGCGUUGCUGACCUUCUUGUGCCGUAGUGAUGCAUCGCAGUCUUUAGGAGUAGUAAAAAAACUACUCGUGUAAGAACAGCUUGUUCCCUGUGUGUUCCCCAGUUACCCUAUUUUGCAAUGCAGUCUUCCACAAAGUUUGGCAGUGGUGUUGCUUUUCCACAUACCUGAAUUGUGAAGCCUGAGUGCUGCAACUUUUAGCGCCAUUGUUUUUGUCUAGUGUUGAGCUGUUUUGUUUUGUCUUCCUUGUGAUUUGCAGUUGGUAGUGCUGGUGCACAUGUCUGGCUGCGGUUAGUGGCAUUCUUGGUUUAACGAAUUUUUUGCCAUUGGCAUGACAACUAGCUGAUCUGGGAGCCCACUGAGCUAUGCUGUGUGCCGACCCGAAGGUUCCGAAGAGUGGGUGGUGAUUGUCACUGUCACUGAUAACAGCUCCAGAACUGUGUGUGGCAUGAUGCAGGAGUGAGAAGGACAUACAGUUCCGAGGGCUGAAAAAGUGUGGCAAGCCAUGAUUGUGACUAUAAACCAGACGCAUGCAUUUUAAGUGUGUUAAAGGCAAAGGUUAGACGUUAUAAAAGGUUACUAGGCUUCAAGAUACAGCACCCCAAGUGUGUACUUAUAUACUCUCUUCAAAAUCUGAAGGCUAUUCUGAUUGUUUACAUCUUUUAAUAGGGCUUGUGGAAGAUUCCAAUUUAUUGGCACUUCUUUAAUUUUCGCUAUGUGCUUGUGCGCCUUGUGCUACACGGAAACUUCAUAAGAAUUGUACACGGAAACGUUAACCUAUUAUGAUACUAUGAAAAAUUCUACAUUCAGGGGAGUGGGAAAAUGAUUCACUGCUGACCUGCUCAGUUGUGUCAAUUGAGGGCCAGUUUGAUAGAGCUCCAGCUCCUCCUAAAAAAAGUCGGAGCUGGAGGAGCUAUUUUUUUUUCCUCCAGCUUCUCCGUAUAAAAUGACUCUGGCUCCUCUAAUGCUCCCAGGGUGGAGCCAUUUUUUUACCAAACUAUUUGGUAAGGCUUCAGCUGGAGCCGCAGGAGAAGCUGGAGCUGGUGUCCUGCCAAACCGACCCUGAAUCGAGUCGGUUAUUGCAGCAACGGAGUCAUUUCAGCUGGAAACACUUGAUUCUUCUUACUCUAAUAGCCUAAUAUCUUGCAGGGACGUGCCUGUUCUUGGGGUGAAAGAAAUUUAUCGUUUCAAGAAGCAUCCUUUCCUCCCCACUUCUCUCUCUCUCUAAAAAAAAGAAGAAUGUUGGAAGAGGUUGGAAAAAACUGCAAACUAUAUAUGUCAUGGAAUCUGGACAGGGGAACAACUUUUUGCCCUGAUGUGAUCGGCAAAAGUUGCAAUAUUACCCUAAAUGCAGAACAUGGAUGCUGAAGGUAUCUUGUUUGCUUGAAGCCAUCACUCCCUAGCCUGCCGAUGGUAGAUUCCAUGAACCCAGAAACACGCAAUCAAGUCAAGAACAGUUUCACUUUCAACUUUCACCGAGAAAAUCUUUCCGAAAAUUCUGCACAACACUAACCCGUCCACAUACUAAUAUCUUGAUGGAUCUUUCUGAAGUCACAAGUUGAUUCCUUAUAUCCCCAAACACAAGCCAAUAUUCAGUUAGCUGCCCUUUUUGACCAUCGCAAGCCGCUAAAAAUGCGGGUACUUCUAACUGGCAUAGUUCGAAGAAUAAAGCAGAAAAAUUGUGCCUAGAAAUGUAGCUACCUCGACAGAAAAUCGAAGAGGCGCGGCACAAAAACACCCAAUGAACGAGAGUUCAGCAGCUUCUUUCGCUUACAUUUAUAUUGCGUGCGUGCAGUUUGGAAUCGUCAGUGGAGCAACAGACGCCAAACUGUCUGCAACUGGCAAAAGUGCAGCACCAGAGGCCAGGAGGUGAGCUGGAAGAUCGGUCAAAGGGGAAUAAGAACCCCAACGCGAGGUGUUGCCCAACUCAAUGAUGAGAGGAGCAAUGAGUAAGCCCUUUUACUACCUUAGUCUGCCUCCUACAGUCCUAUGCAUUGCUUGAUGCUUCUAGUCACUAGCUGGCCAAGUGAUUCCUUGUAAUGCUUACAUACAUUGUUAUAUCACCACACAAAGAAAAAUCAAUCCUUUGCGACGGUUAGACGCGCAAAACUGUAGUAAGUAUAUCGGGCAAUUGGUGAACUGGAAUUCAAAUGCCUGAAGAAGAGAUGGCUAUAAAUCUUUUAAAUUUAGUUUUUUUAGAUGAUGUAGUCUUAAAUUUAGGUAAAGGAAGAAAAUCAUAGGAAAUUUUAAAAACAUCUGAUUCCAUUAAUCCGUAUAGUAGGACUUGCUAGCAAAAGGGGUUAGCUGUGGAGAUGUAAACAAACCAGCAUUGCACCUCUCGCUCUCCCUGUGGAAUUUCUAGCUUUAGCCAAAAGGCUAUGCGCUGCGUUGUAGCGCGAGAGUGAAGGGACACUUGACCGCCUCUCGAUCGCCUCCCCUAGAGGUGGGGGAGUGUGGCGGCCUGAUUCUCUGUCGGCCGCUACUGCCAAGUACCAGACGAAGAUAACUUUGUUAAUCUCACCAUGAUUACAGUCUAACAACUAUUUGGUACUGCUACAAACUUUUGUGCCGUUGAAGUUUACAUUGCAACUAUGUGUUUGUGAUCAAUGAACCUAGUGCAAAAACUGUUGGCCGGCAUGCUGGUCAGAAGUUUAGAUUCCAAUAAGAAGUGUAAGCAUUUUGAUCUUCUUUUUAAGAUACUGUAAAUGUAUUGAUCUUUUCUCAGAUGAUGCAUACGAUUACACUAGUCCAGUAACAAUCAUGAUGGUCAACAUGCAUUUCAGAUUAGAGGGACCAAUUACUUUCUGAAGUGGACUCUUUGAGAGAAGAAAGCAGGAAUCAUGUGAGGUGCUUCACUCACAUUUCAUCGCAUUUACUUAUCGAAGAAACCGUGCAGGAACAAAAAUGAUGGCCGGGCCUUUUCGCACGGUAUCAGUCAGAGGGAGAAGAACACAUGGCAGCGACAAAAGUGGUGUCCUGGAUGCUAAUUUUGACCCUGAAUAGAAAAUCAGACUGCCCACUAAACCCUUGGCCAAUUACAAAUAUUGAUUCUUGAUGAUGGGAGGGUACGGUAAGAGAUUAUCACAAUCUUCGCGCACUCGGGAGAUCUCCAUGGGGAAAAUUUUCACUCGAUUGGCCCGGUUAAACUUUAAACGGCCAAAGAGAAAUUUGCAUUUCCAGACAAUUAAGGUCAGAGAAAGUUGUUGCAGAAAUUCCACGGAAAAAGUGGAGAACCAUGUAAAAAGGACGGGAUAUCCGCCGAUUUGCAAAUUUAGUAAUCUGCCCCAUGACAGCAUACACAAAAGGGGCGCCACUGAGGAAAUGGUAAAUGAUGCGGGCUUUUUCAAGAUACGCAUUUCAUUAGCACAUCAAAAAUGUAUUCAGGCCAGGGCGUGGGAAUGGGCUUUCCAAAUAUUCAGUACUCCACGGAACAGAAUGAGGUCGGAGAAUUUGGUGUGGUCAAAACACCUUUCACAUGAGCAGUACAUGGUACUAGAUACGAUUAAUGUAAUGUAAUGGCUGUGUUGUGGUCAUUGUGUUCCUUAUGUGGAGGUCGUCGUCACAGACGACUGCCAAGGCCAAACAGAAAACAUGCUUCGUGGUGGCCAAGUCCAAGGGACCGUGCAAUCUGAUCUAAGCUGAUGUUUCAUGUAUACUGGUGCACACUAUGUACAGUAUACUUGAAACGGUUUCAGCACCCAAAAAGGAAAAAACAAGAUGACGAAACGGUCUCAGGCCUCAUCAUCUGGCGCUUGGCAGCGUCGAGGAGAUGCCGGCGAGUUGGUGGAGCAGGGCGCUGCCGGCCGCUCGUGCCCACCCACGGAUCACGGAUGAGGCGGCGCGGCGCUGAGGCACCCGUAGCGUCCCGGCACGUCACGAGUUCCUGACGCAGAUGACAUGAAGGUGCCCGAUUCGCGACGAGAGGGUGCGGCCGCCGCCGUGAUCACCGACGGCGGGGUGAUUCUGGUUCGUUUCGGUUGGGUUGCUUCGGUUGCUUGGGCCACCGAGGCGACAGUGCGACACGGCCGAGGAAGUGGCCGACGGCCGACCGCAGCCCCGCGGCGGGCUGUGGACGAAGUCGGCCUGGUGGACUUGGCAACCUCGGCUGGUGCAGCGCGCAAUAGCGUAGCCAGGUUCGUUCGUUCCUUCCCCGGAGACGCCGCCGAUCUCGCCCCUUUUACCAGAUUGGCACGCCGUCCGAUUGACGAGACGGCAUAUAGCCCUAGGGUCCGCUCCAUUCUUCAGGCAGGACCCCGAGCUGAUCGUGAUACCGAAGUUGAAUUCAUGACUAGACAGUGCCUUCAUUUCCGUCGAAUUGACUCAGGUUCUCGUGCCUGGAAUCCUCGAUACAAUAAUAACUUUGAUUUAGGAACAGCCAACAUCCAUUGUAGUCUAGCUGGUUAGGAUACUCGGCUCUCACCCGAGAGACCCGGGUUCGAGUCCCGGCAACGGAAGCUUUUUUGCAUCUGCAUCCGUUCUUCUGUGGUGUGGUCGGCCCAACCUGUGAACAGGUCAUCAUGAGGCUGAUUUGUUUUUGCUCUAAACACUGAAUAACUAACCAUCUUCUUCUCAGAACAGCUGGUUCACUGGUUGCUGCUCCUGCCCAAAUUCAUAGACUCGUCUUGCUACUCCACAGUUUUUGCAGUUGCAACAACACCCCCAAGUUGAUCCAACCAUCUGUUCCAUCUCCAUCGAUCAUCAAAGAUUCAGGUUCGCCGACAGGCUAAUCCCGGUCCCACCUGUCAUCCUCGCUGUCAAUCUACCUGCGCUCAGUUGGGGACCUCACAAUUCGAACCAUCCUCGAUGAGGUGAACCGGCAAAUUAAGCACAUCUUUUCUUGGUUCGUCUUUUCUUUCCCCACUCUCUUCCAUUCAUCCACAUUGCUUCACAAACCCCUCCAUUUUUUUUGUUUGCGUGAUCUGUUCAACAAGCACAAUAAUUACCUGCAAAUCACACCCAACAACCACAGAAAAAAAAA
rnacentral:lncRNA from 1 species